rnacentral:lncRNA from 1 species
GAGGCCCAAAGCUUGUCUAGUUCUAGUCGCCAAGGUGGAGGCCGAAAUCAAGUUCGAGUCCACCUCGAAAUAUAGGAGGAGUAUGUCCUGGGCAAAAUUGACGCCCAUAGCACAUACGAACAAGGUUUGCGAGGUCCACAUAUGUAUGGAAAGAUAAUUUGAUAUGCUAAUCAAUGGCUUUUGUUUCAUGUCAAAACUCACACAAAGUCAAUGGAAUCGUUGAAAUAAGUUAGCGUCCCUAAUCUGCCAAGGUUCUAGAUCAACAUCUUUUGGUUCAUUGGGUCGUAUCCAACAGUUUGCCAUUGAGCUUGCCAUCCUUAAAAAUUUGGCAAAAUCAAAAAAAAUCACUCUCCAACAGUUUGCCAAUUCAACUUGCUAUUCUUAUCAACUUGCAAAACCUCGAUGCCGCGCGCGCAAAUAUACGCGCGUGUAUUGGCUUGCCGUCGCGAGCGCAGACGUCGCUGAUUCCCUUCCCCCACGCGCAGUGAAAAUUCUGCGGCUCUUCCCUGGCAUCGACUUCCUGCUUCGCGAUCUCAUCAUCUUCCUUCUCGUCACCACUUUCGCCAUCAGGUCCCGGCCGACCUGCUCCUGCCCGCCGCCGUGAUCAGCUCGCGAUAGCACCAUCAGGUCCCGGCCGAUCUGCUCUAGUCCGCCGCCGCGAUCAGCUCCUCACAAUAGCGCCAUCAGGUCACGGCGGCCGAUCUGCUCCUGCCCGCCGCUGCGAUGAUCAGCUCUUGGGCACCGCGAUCAUCUCCGGCCUGUCCGGCCAGCUCCUCGUCGCAGCCGCGAGCAGGUAGCCUACUUGAUCUUUUCCCGAUCUUCAUGCCGUCUUGAUCGUCUAGCCUGGCUUCUUCUUCGUGUUCAGCUGCUGCCAUCGUUGUUCCAAUUGCUAGUUUGAUGACAUCGAUCCUUGCUUAGAUGACAUCACAUGAUAUUUUGUGGCAGUUUUUCUUUACAAGAAUAAAUCUAGAAAUACAAUGGAAAUACAUAUAUCUUAUCAUUGUAUAUGGCCGAGUAGUACAUGGCCGGCUGGGAGAGAGAUGGCUGGUGGCCGAUAACUUCUGUUCUUUGUAGUACCUGAUCAUGGCACUGUGCAUAUUUUUCUGUCUCCUGUAUCCAUGGACGGGCAUGCUCCUGUAUGCUCUUUGCACUUGCUGGUGGCCGACAGCUUCUAUUCACAGCUCCGUAGCAGGCGUCAAUGGUGCAUAAAAAAACUUGAUUCAAAUGAUUGUUGGACCUAAAUGAUUCAUCCAUCGUGAGAUGGAGUUUCUGCGGCGGCGUACACGCGCGAGGAUCGUCCCUUCAUAUACGCGCAGAGGGGAAUAUAUCAUACCUAUCAACAACCCUGGUGGGCCCUUUAUUUUUUUUUGUUUUAGCAAGUUAAAAAUAAGAAACUGUUGGAGAGAACCUCUUUUUAACUUGGCAUAUUUUUUUAGCAACUUGCCAAAAUACAACAUUUGCCAAGUGAAUUUUGGCAAACUGUUGGAGAUGCUGGCGCGUCUAGUGGUUGACACCCAAACUCUAUAAUUAGUCAUCGUCACUCUCAUUAGGGUUGGGUUUUGUUCCAUUUUUGUUUUCCUCAUGAAACAGUAUGUCACAUUCUGGUGUUGAAGACGAAUAAAGGGGUGUUGCUAAUGUUGAGGGUGAGGCAUGCUGGAUUCGUCAACUCUUGGGCGAGCUUCAUCAUCGUGUAACACAGGCAACUCUUGUUUAUUGUGACAACAUCAGUAAACGUGUAUUCAUCCACAAAUCUAGUUCAUCACCAAUGGACCAGGCAUGUAGAGAUCGAUCUCCAUUUUGUUUGGGAGCAAGUGGCCCUUAGAGCUGUGUGAGUUCUUCAUGUUCUGACAUCCCAUAAUAUGCUGACAUAUUCACUAAGGGGCUAUGAUCUACCAUCUUCAUCAACUUUCGAUCUAGUGUCAAUGUUUGCUCCUCUCCCAGUUGAAACUGUGGGAGGAUAUUAGAAUGUGAAAAGCCUAGAAUGUCAUAAUAAAGAGUCCCUCGUAUGAAGACUCAUGUAAUCUAUAUGAAGAGUCAUUAAUCCCUUAUAUAAACUAGUGAUCAUGAAUGGAAAUUGCUAAGUCAGUUUCUAUCAGUUUCUCAUAUUAGAAAUAUGUUGUCUUUUUGUUUCCAUAUAAAAACUAGCAAGUGAUUCUUUAGAAAUUCCCAUAGCAAUGCAUAGGGAAUCACCCAGUAUAACUAUAUGGCCGUGCAGAUGGGUAAUAAUCUGAAAGUGAAUCAUCAACCACUCAUUUAGAAGCUGCUCAUGGCUCUUUAGCCUUUUGCCUAGCCUGCCGGAUUUGGCCUACGACCAGCCUACCUCUUGAGCCAUCCACGAUGCAACAUAGAAAGGCUAAACGUUUGAGCGAUUGUUCUCCGUGACUCAGAGUCACAACAUGUCAACAUUCACUGAUGAAUGCUUCAUGUCGCCAUGGCAUCGUGUAUAUAUGGUUCUAUAACACUGCAGCCCUUUAGUAGCCUGUAGCAUUUGUGAAGUUGGCCCAUGUGGCUAAAGUAGGCCUAUGUAGCCCAAGUGGCUUAUGUGUGGUUGUGGUUGGUGGGUUUACUACUACCAUGGAAGUCUAGGAGGGUGAAGGCCAGCUUAUAAGCCUUAUUGUUCCAAAUGUAGCACCUCUAGGUUAACCCUUUGACACGAAGCAAAGAUGAAAGUGUAAGCUAGGUGCUACGCGUAUGCAGGCUUGUUCCAUGUGUAAAGCUGGGCAAUAUAAGUAGUUUUUAGAUGUGGGGUGUUAGAGAUGGUAUUCGGAGCCUUAAUCCUUGCUUCAUGUUUCCUGUGGAGGGGUAUACCAAGGGGUGGUCUUGCACAUAUGCCACAUAUAUGUGAUGAGCUGUCGAAGACAUCAACCCUUAAGGGAGGCUGAAUAUAACACCCUAGCCUAAAGUAGUUGUGAAGUUGGGCCAUGUGGCUCAAGUGGCCUAUGUGUGGUUGUGAUUAGUGGGUGGAAGUCUAGGAGAGUGAGGGCUAGCUUAUCUCUACUAUAAUGCACCUAACAGAAUUAUGCUUGGUUCAGUCAAGAAAAUCACCUCCGCUGAGGGUGUCCACCACUGCGCACCCCAAAAAAAGCACACAGAAAUUUAUCUAUAUUAAAAUCAAUGGCUGAUAAAACACUAAGAUCAAAUCCAAUGGUCAGCAGAGGAAGUUUGAUGCGAGGCUUCAAACUCCCCCAACACCCGCACUCCACGGCUUCAAACGCACAUGGCAAGGCACCUCGACAACCAGCGAUCGAUCCCUGGUGCCAUCACCGAAUUAAAAAUGGAAGCCAUCACCGAAGAAAAAAAUGAAAGACACCGCCACGCACGUGCCCCGACGCCGGCACUCCACCUCCCCUACGACGCACCGUGCAGGAGUGCAGGACGCUGGACACCGCCUCGGCCAGGACCCAGGAGUGGUCGCCUUGACUCUGCCCCAUCCCACAGCUCCCUCUCGCAUGUACCUCCCACGGCCACGGCCAGGCGGGCGAACAGGCCGCCAGGCAGUUGGGCGGCCAGCGGAGCAGGCGGGUCCCAUCGCCCUAUGUUUUGUGUGUGGCCGUGGUAAAUGCGUACGAGUUAGGCUGCCACUGCCCCCAAAUUGUUGCGCUUCCAAGCUGGCCACGUCUGAUCCCUAUGCACAUGGAGGCCGGAGCCGGGGGAGAGGCCGUGAGGGGCACUGCCCGUCUGCGCCGUUUGCGUUGGGGCUAGGCGCCACGGAGGCUGGCGGGCCGCAGACGGACAGCGGGCGACUUGGUGGAUGGCAGCGAGGUCGAUUCAUCCGCGCCGUCGUCGUCGCUCGAGGACAAGCGCUUGGCAGGGGUCGUGCCUUCCAACUGGGCACCACAGCGGUGUCUGAGGUGUCCUCUGGCGCAGGUGGCUCCGGCUGAUCAGCGACUACUACUCCACUGUACCAUCUUGCGUCUAUUACUGAUCUGUUGCUAAUCAAUCGUGUCAUUGUGUGCAGGUGCAGGCUGUGGUAAGUGAGGCAGCCGAGUGGUGUACAGAUAGAGAUGCCGAUUGCACAUAUAGGUAUGUAAUAUUCACCCUUGAAACCUAUUGCACAUAUAGGUAUGUAAUAUUCACCCUUGCACAUAUAGGAUUUGAUGCAAAAAGGAGAUCAAAGUAACAUUUUGAUUAGACCAUGGAAGUCUGGCCACAAACUUUUGUGGGUAACCAUGCGACAUGUAAAUGUUGCUUUGCUAUGUAUCGAUGCCUAUCACCAUUCCAUUUCAAUUUUGAAGGCUUAUUUUUUUCCAAUAUAUUAGUUGAUAAUUCACCUCUACUUUAAAGAUAGAGUAUAUGAAUUUAACUGCGUUCAUUUCAUCAUACAGAUUUGAUAUAUGCAAAUGAUCCUAUAAUGGUAUUUUCCCCAGUUGGGAAACACUAUGGUUGUAAAGAUAUUAAGAGGAUCAUGGCAUCAUGCCAACUAUGUAUUUCCAUGGCUCUUUAAUGUUUAUGUUGAAAAGCCAAUAGUAAAUGGUGUGGGCUUUAUAAGUGGGGUAACAAAUGGACUAUUUUACUUCCAAAUUCCCAUAUAAGUAUGCCUGUUGGUUUAGGAAAAUCAAUAAUGAUACACAUAACUCUUACUGUUAGUAAAACUUUAAGUGUUAGUGACUCUGCAUCUGAAGUAGUACAAGCUUCUGUCUUCUUCUUCUUGUUGCUUCUCUGCCAUUUGUGUAAAAUUGGUACAUUCUUUUAGCAGAUUUCCAUGUAUGAUGAUAGCCUCAUUUUCCAGUUUAGUGAUGAUUGAAAAUACUUUGGUGUUGCCCAAUCGAAUAGCAAAUACAUAUUUGGAGAGAACUUCGUAUCAUUAUUAACAUGUUAGCUAUGCAUAAAAUAUAGAAUCGUUAUGUUUUUAUUAGCUGGGUUAUAUGUUUCUUAGCUAAUGAAUAACUUUAUGUAGGUUGUUCACAAGAAUACUGCAUUUGUUCUUUACAUGACCACCGUCAAGAACGAGGACGUUCAGCCUGCAGGCUAUUAAGGUAGGUUUUAUGAAUAUCUUUUUCUCCAUAUCCAAUUUGUGUUCAAUUGACUUGUGUGCUUACUAGAACUCAUUCACUCCUAGGCCAACUUCAAAUACAAGUUUCAUGAGAUCAAGAAGAACUGGGGUGGUGGUGUCAAGGGCUCCAAAUCACAUGUGAAAACCAAGGGCAGGGGAAAGCUGCUGGCCAAGGAAGCUGAUCAGCGGUUGACCUACAUCACACCCUGUUAAAUUUAACUUGUACGACGUAUGCAAUCAUACUGAUGUGUACUCCCUCUGUCCCAAAUUUAUUGACGUUUUAGGAAUCGCGGUGGAUACCAAGGAAGAAACAAAAUGACCUGCACACCCCUACGAAGUGUAACAGUCUGUACACCUUUUAUAUGUCUUAUCACUGAAAUAGCCGUAAAAGGCCGCGUGCAGGAACUUGUAUCCAUCACUGCAGCAACCUUUCAUCAAAAACCAUGCACUUCGAUCGAUUAUUUUUUCCUUAAACAAAUGAAUCAUGAUGUUUGCCGGGACAUGGUUCAUUAAUUGCUCAUAUGUUCUGUCAUUGUUGUAACCGAUUCCUAUAGGCACAUGUUCAUUCAACCUAGCAGAACGACACUCUUUGUGGGACUUACUUCUAGAGCUAAAACGUCAGUAAAUUUGGGACAGAGGGAGUAUGUUCAAAAUGUUGCCGUAGGAUACUCUCACUUCAUUUGCUGGUUUGGUUUGCAGCUUUACAUGGCUGCAUUAGUCAUAUCAUUCACUAUUUUCUUUUGGACCCAUGUUUACUGCCCAUCAAUUCAGACUUCGUCAGAUGAAAACACCCAACUUUAUGUUUGUUUUGGAUAUGUCCAUGCUUUCCGGGCCAUAUGCAAGUUUUAUGUAUACUUUUAAACCUUGGAAAUGGAUGUGGCCAAUAAUUUUGAUAUAUUCUAAUCACAUUUUGAUUAGGGUAAUCGUAGGCUUUCUUUGUUAGAACAUGUAUUAUCUUCCGUUUGGUUGAUUUGUGUUCUUAGAUGACACCGUAGCGUUAGCACGGGUAAUAUACUAGUAAGCCUUAAUGUUCCAAAUGUAGCACCUCCAGGUUAACCCUUUUGCAUGAAGUGAGAACGAAAGUGUAAGCGAGGUAUCGUUCCAUAUGCAGAGUUGGGCCAUAUAAGCAGUUUUUGAACGUGGGGCAGUGUUAUAUAGGUUCAAACAUCUCUUGUGGCGCCAUCCGAUCAUGGAGAGCACUGGGCACAAGUCCCCCAUCUGCGACCACAAGUCCUUGUGUUGCCAAGUUAGUGAGUUCUCCCUCAGCACAGAGUAGAUCAGAGACUCUGAAUUAAUCUCUCAUCGAGAUCACUAGAUCAGGGCAUCAAAAUGAUUACAAGAUCAUUGAUAAGGUAAGCCCAAUGGCCAAUGCUCCUAUUAGUUUAAUUUCUUGUUAGUCAUGGCAUACUUAUCUGAUUAAUUUAUGAAGCACAGUUCAUAAAUUAUAUAAGGAUUUAUUCAAAAGAUAAAAAUAAGGGUAAUGCCAAAACAAGAUUGUAAUUUUUUUACAUAGAAAAUUUGCUAUAAAAUAAUUACUAUAUGUGCUUUAAUAUACUCUGCCAAAUAAUUGGUGGUGGUUUGUACAACCACAAUGCGACCUAACAAUGGUUUGUACAGCCACGAUGCAACCUCACAAUUCACAUUCAUUAUUUGACAAUUGAUUCUUGUUUUAAUCCUUGUUUCUCAUGAUUAGGGUCUGUCUAGUUUACCUAUGAGCUAUGGAAAAGUUGUUGUGAGCUGUGGAAAACCCGUUAUGAGUUGAUGUGGAAAGGUUACAACCUGUUUUUCAAGAAACUAUGAAAGCUUCCCCAUCCUAUAUCUCCCACGAAACAAAUGUGAAACAAGAUUUUUUUUUGGCAACAUAGCACUUUUCAAAAGGUGAACUGAACGUAGCCUGGUAUACAUGAUAAUGUGAAGCUGCAUUGCCAUGAAAACUUGAAACACGACAGCGAUAAGUAACAACUAUGUGAAUUUAGAUGGACACAUAUGUGAUUGAAAUUAGGAAUGGUUAUUUCAUGCACUAAUGCUCAUGGAAGACACCCCCACCACCACCGCCAAUUGUGUUGGAUCAUAGAAAUGAACUUGAUCUAGUUAUUCGUCUUGCACACGACCUACUCUGUCCAACCCAAAAUAACUACACAAACAUCCCUAUCCCACAAUAACUACCAACAAACCUAGUAAGUUUAAUUAAACCUGUGCACAUGAUCUAUGAUUGCACAAUGGCUUAUGCAAUUAAAAUCUAAUAUGAAAAUUCACAUUCAUUGUGUGACAAUAUAUACUUCUUAUUUUAAUCCUUGUUUCUUGUGAUUAGGGUUUGUUUGGUUCAGCUAUGAGCUGUGGAAAAUAUAGCUGCUAUGAGCUCUGAGUUGUGAAAAAGUUAUGUGGUAUGGAAAACCUGUAAAUAAAUUUGAUACGUUGUGAGUUAUGCAUUGUGAGAUGUGGAAAAGCUUUUAUAACUAAUUUUAUGGCGAACAUAUAUACACACUAUUUGCUUCCAUUCAAAAUUUUAGUUUUUUGGACCACUUCUAGGUAUUGUUAUAACUUAUUAGUGGUAAUCUAUAGAUAGACAACUGAAUUGUCCUUGCAAAACAAUUGAAUUUUUCAUCUAACUCCAUGACAAUUGAAUAGACCAUAUUUGCCCAAAUAUAGUUUUUCAUGCCUUUUUUGAAUCUUAUUGGGGUAUACAAUGUUCAAUAUGAUUUGGGGUACAUAAAACUUACAAUAACAAAGACCUUAAAUUAAGACUACGUAUAUAGUAAGACCUUUUCAGGAAAGAGGUGCAACAUUUUUUCUGACUAGGUUAAUUGUCACAUCCAUCGCAACUUAUAAUUUAGCACGUGGUGGUGCAUGUUAACGAGAUAUUGUGGGGGGUUUAGUCUCACUUUAGUUGUUAAGGGUGGGUUAGACUCUGGGGGAAACCCCGCUGCGUUAAUUUAGCCAAGUCGAGUGCCAUCCACUUGGCUAGCUCAAGUUAGGCAAACAACCUCGAUAGGCCCCCAGAAGUGCACAUAACAACUCCUCUUUGGGAUCUUUGCGUUGAGUUACACACACAUACCCAAUACAAAACAUACUGGACAACUCAAUCACAUACAGCCUCUUGUCUCACGUUUAUACUUAAAGCAUUGUUGAUAAGAAAAUGCACUUUUAGUAUAUAAGAUUACUACUAAGUCUAAUGUUCUGAACAACUCUAUUCCUACACUGGGUUGGCUCUUGUCGCUCAUCUACUCAUCGAGUUACACACAGUUCAUCUUGGAGAACACCCAUUCCAAGGCCUCCUAACCGUUGCAUUCACCGGUGCUAAUCUCAGGAAUAUGCCUGGCCUGGUCACCUGCAAAACAACUUAACAGUUGCAUUGUCAGUACAUUGUGCAUUCACAUGACUUAAUUCAAACUUAUAGUAUUUGGUAGAUGCAUAGGGUGAUUAUUUACGCAUUUGUAUAGGUGCAAAAAGCAAUGAUAUCAUUAAGAGUAUGACAUGCUAUGCUAACAUUAAGGUUAAAGCAUUUAUCAUUAUCACAAAGGUGCUCAUGGUCCAUCAUCAAUUCUACCAUGGGUAUAGAAAGAAAGAACAACCGAAUAGUUCCGUCCCAUGGGACUCUAGCCUUUCAAGACUGUAUAGAGGUGUACUAUUGUACCCACAUGGAAAACAGGACUAACCACUAUACACCAGGUCCGGUAGUAAGGGUUCCCUCACAUUGUCCAACCUUUUCCUAAUCCAGCCCCUGUCUGAUGAAAGGUUCAACUGGGUUCCUAGUCAAUGUCUCGGAGAUUCCUGACCAUUUCUUGAUGCCCGUCUUAAAAAAGAGAGAAGAAAAAAGAGAUGAAUAAGAUAGCCCAUGAGUUAUUGCAAAGUUGUUUCUUAGUGCCAAUAGAGAGAUAUGUUUUCAAGGAGCAAAGUAGAAUUAGGAUUAGCCACUAUAUACAUAUAUUCACCAUAUUCUAUGUACAUGCACAUGUACAUCUCAUUUGAUUGUAUGAUUUAACUCUCUUUGGAUCUAAGAUUUGACUUUACAAUAUUUGAAUCGCAAGUAUGUUCUUUUAUCUUUUCUCCCUACUUAUGAACUCCACUAUAAGCUUUCGUUGUAGGAAGAGAAAGGCACAAUGCUACCAUUGUCUAGGUAAGGAUCCUCAAAUACCACAUACACUAAGAGAUUUGAGAGUGUCAUUGAGUUAAGCUUUGAGUUUUAUUGCGAAAACUUAUGAAAAACUCUAGAAUAUAGGUUGAGCAAAGAGAGUGAGACAUAGUGCUUGACUUGAUUGUUCUAUCAUUCAAUUGCUCAAGACCCAAGUGAAAGUUGAAAAGCCCCAUAGUUGAUAGUAAUAUGAGUAAGUUUGAAAGUCAGAGCAGUUCAUCUAAUCCAAAGGAGAAAUUUUGUUUGAAAGCAUGUGUACUUUUUAGGCGUGAAAGCAUUGAUGCAACUUCUAAUCCAAGUUUCCUAAGUUUAGGUUUUCUAAAGGACUAGCAAAGGGUAAGCUUGGGGGAGAUUGUUGAUGGUGGAUAAUGUCAAUAUUUAUAAUUGAAUAAACAUGAGAAAGGGUAUAAAAGAAUUAAUCUAUGUAAGUCUAGGGUUUAAACUGACAGAUUAUAUGAGUUUUAGUGAAUUAUUAUUUUAUGCACGAUUAUUCUAGAAAAAAAAACAAGGAGGAACUAUUCGUCAAAUAUAACUAUCAACUUACUCUGUGAAAAUUAUCAGAGAAUACUCCAAAAGGAUGAAGAAUUGACCACGGCAAAGAGGGCCCUGAAAGGCCUCAAAAGAGGGCCGGCCGGUCUGGGCCUAGGGUUGGCUGGCCUAGCCUAGAGCCCCCUUGUCUAUGUCUUCUGGAAGCUUCCUCCACCACCUCUAAGGAUAUAUCUAAACCAUCCCUUAGGUUAGUUUGAUCAAGGUGAAAGGUCCUUGUUUGGUUUUGGUAAUUGAGUGACAACUUAGGUGGACUUAUAGUGUUUAUGUGAGAUACAUAGGAGAUUAGUCUACAUGUGAAUAUGUGAUGAUGGAGGAGCAUUUUGUAUUUACCGUUGUGGUUUUUGAAACCGCCAUGGCCAUAAGGUCACGGUUAAUCGUGGCUUAACUGAGGUGGUUUACACAACCGCCUCGGUUAAAAUAUUAAUCGUGGUGGUUUCCUUAUGUAGCCCGCCACGGUUAAUGUUUUAACUGAGGCGGUUUUGUUAUGUUGCCCACCCUCUAUUAAAAUUUUAAUGAAGGUGGUUAUUUUUAUCAGUCAGUGAUUGGUUGGUGCAUGGUUUCAUCAACAUUGGAGGAGAUGAAAUGGAAUGCACAAGGCAAAGUUAUAACCUAGGGCAUUUCCAUUUUACUGGUCAUAAGUGUGUAGAAAAGUUUAUGACAUGAUUUAGGAUAGAUGGUCGUCCUAUCAAGAGGGGCAAAAUUGUUUGCAUAUAGGUCAUCUAGUGCCACUUGAGCGAUCUAACUUUGCAUACGUGUUAGGAUCAAAGUGAAGUGCUCAUUUUCCAUUGUACUGGAGGAAAGUUUCAGAAAAGUCAUACGAGUGUUUCUCAGCAAGAAACACUUGUUGGACACCGGGUCAGACAACGUCGGAUGCUGAGGCCGUGUGAGACGAGUUCACCAUAGAGAGGCGCAUGUUCAACCGUGUGUCGAAGUGUCUGAUGCCCUAGCAUCGGCGCGUCCGAUACUCACACUGUAGUAGUAGGGUUUUGUCUAUGGACAUGUGAGACACUCAGAGUGAGACGCUGAGAGUGCAUCUGAUGUCCCUUCGUCAGACAUGUCCAACAACCUAGCGAGUUUGUAGACUUCUCUGAGUAGCGUCUGAUGUGGAGACACUGCAUCUGACGUGGACCAUUGGAGCGUCCGAUGUGACUAUGUGUGUGCUUGUGCGAGUUAGCCAUUAGCAGAAAUGGUCGAGUUCAAAUGGCUAGCGACAUAUGGUAGCACGAAGAGCGUCGGACGUUGGGGUUGCGCGUCUAGUGCAUCUGACGCCCACACAUUUUGCCCUAUGAAGGGGCAACGGCUAGUUUAGCCAUUGAGGCUAUAAAUAGUAGUGUUGGCAGGCUUGGCUGGUGGCUAAGUACACUAUGGCCUUGGUGCCUUUUUGUGGUGGUGCUUGGGAGCCCUCUAACUCACAUAUGCUUGAUAGUGAUCAUUCGAUUGUGUGAGUGGGUGAUUCUAGUGAUGUAUUGAGAGAUUACAUCGAGUGGCACUAGGGGUUAGUACUGCAAGCCAAUGGUGCUUGUUACUCUUAGAGGUUGACACCUCCUAGAUGGAUUAGUGGCUUGUGACUCUGUCAAAGCACACAAGGAGGUUGUGUGGUGCUCCGGAGAAGUUAUUGUGAGGGGUACGGUGCUCACCCAUGGGAUCAUGAAGAGAAACUCUAGUAGAGCGAGACGUGAUGAAGGGCGACAAGUGGUCUGGCCAUGUCAAGUGCUAGAGCUUGUGGUAAGCACUCCACAUGGGAGAGUGUGACUUGCGGGUCACCACUAGCAAGAUAACUGGUGGCAACCUUAGAGCUUGUCUCAACGGAGACGUACCUUGGUGGCAACGAAGUGAACCUUAGGAAAAAUCCUUGUGUCAACAGUGUUCUUCCCAUUGGUUUGCAAGUCCCUAACACAAGCUUGUAUUUACAUUCAUAUACUUGUCCUUUGUGUAGUUGCUCUUGUAAUUAGUUAGCUUAUGUAGCUUGCUAGUUACCUUCUUGCUUGUGUAGCUAGAAGUAGUUCCCUUGCAUGGCUAAUUUUGUUUGGUAAUCUUGUUAGUAACAAUGCUUAGUUUGUAUAGCUAAGUAAGAGCAUCUCCAAGGGUUUUGCAUUUGGACUUUGCAUUCUUGUAAUUUGCCAAAAAUCGCAAAAAGAGGUAUCCAAUGGUUUUGCAUUUGGAGUUUGCAUUUUGGGCAAGUUGGCAAAUGAGAGAGCAAACUUGGCAUAUAUGCUAAGCCACGCACGGCUUGGCAAAAUGCGAGAACUGGCGGUGACUUUAUGCACACGAAGAAAAGUCAUGCGGGAAGACGACCGCGAGUGCGCGUGAAGGAAAAAAAUUGUGGUCGGGUCCACUUUGGCUAAUUGCCAACUCAAUUUUGCAAAACUCUUGGAGAUGGCCUAUUUUUAGAUUUUGCAUUUUGUUUUGGGAGUUUGCAAACAACAACAAAUGCCAACUCAAUUAUGCAAAACCCUUGGAGAUGCUCUAAAUUGUGCUCUCUAAUUUGGCAUUAGUUGCCUUGUUAUUGAGCAUUGCUAGUGAGCUUAGGAGCUUUGUGCUUUUUCUUACUAGUUGUGUAGGAGCUCCCUCGGUGUGUAACGUACUAGUGGCAUAGGUUUUUGUGUCCUUGCUCCUAGAAUUGGUUAGGUGAGCUCUAGCUAAGGAAGCAUCUUGUUUGCUUGUUUAGGAUCUUUUACAAGGUGCUAGAGAACUUAGGUAGAGGGGUGUAGUCUUAGCUAGACUGAUAGUUUUUAUUCUGCAUUUGUUUCGGUUAGCUGGUGCGAUAAGUUUUAGAAAGGACUAUUUACACCCCUCUAGUCUGCCAUCUCGACACUUCAAUUGGUAUCAGAGCAAGGUCUCUCAUUUAUGAUCUUUACCGACCCAAUAGGAUGGCGGCUUAUGGGCUAAAUGAUUGUGAGACACACAUUUUUUAUGGUACAAACUUUGCACAUUGUAAAAUCACAUGCUUGAUCAUUUUUGUGCAAAGGGACCUAAGUUUCGGUGGGUUGUCACUAAUGGUCUCACACACAACUUGGACCAUAAGAAUCUCACCAAAGCUCAAAAGGCUCUCUUUGAACUUGAUUGUGAAGCGUAUUGUUAUCUAAUGAAACCUUUGAGCUUUGAGUUCUUUGAUAGGAUAAACUCCAAAUAAACCACUUAUGAAAUGUGGGAGUCUAUCAAACACACCUUCGGUGAUUCCUCCACAUGGGAUGAUGGCAAGUUCAAAAAGGAGGAACCAAAGGUGGAGAAACAUGAGUGUGUUGAGCACGACCACAACAUCAUGGUUAAGUGAUGAUACUACCACAAGAUCACUUGACAAGUGAUGCAAAUGAUGAUGCUACCCCAUGCACACUUGAUGGUGAAGAUGAUGGCUAUGAGAUUGAUGCAUCUACAAGCUCAUCCACUUCAUCACAUUGCUUCAUGUCACCCGGGGACAACAAGGUAUCUAUUGGUGGUGUGAUUGUUGAUUGUGAUGAUCCAAAUUUUGAGCUUAUAUGUAGACACACUAAAGCUUUAAGAAAUGAGAUGGAAAAAAAGUAAAUUGAAAAAUGAAAACUCAUUUCUAAAGACCACAUGUGAACAACAAAAACAUCUACUUUAUGUUACUACUUGUUCACAUGAGGAGCUAAAAUUGGCUCAUGAGGAACUUUGUGUUGCUUAUGAUAAUUUGGUACAAAAUCAUGCUUUUAUCACUAAGAAGCUUUCUAAUGAAGAAAUUAAAACAAGUGAGAGGUCAUCAUUUGGGUCAAAUGAUCAAUCACAUAUUAUUGCUAACCCUUGUGAUGUAGGCAAGAAGCAUGUAUACACCACUUAUGAUAUUUUAUUAUCUAUGCCAUGUUCUUCACAUAUAGAUGCUUGUUCUACUUAUAUGUCUUGUGAGACUAACCUUUUAAAGGAGAACAAUGAGCUUAAUUAACAAGUGAAGAAAUUGAGCAACAAGUUGGAGAGGUGCUACAACUCAAAACUCACCUUUGAGCAUAUAUUGAAGACUCAAAGAAACUAUGGUGACAAGUGUGGCCUUGGCUUCAAAAAGAAGAUGACAAACGGUAAAAUAAAAAUAGAAAAGAAGAUGAAGAGGAAAUAAAGAGAGAAGCUCUCUUAUUUCAUGUGCUAUCGGUGCCAUGAAGUGGGACAUCUUGCUAACACUUACCCUAACAAAUAGAAGCUCAAGAAGAUAAAAGAAGAAGAGAGCCUCAAGCAUGUCAAAUGCUUCAAGUGCCACACUUAGAGUCAUCUCACCCCAAUGUGCUGAACCACACAAUUGGUGAAGCAACAAGAAGAGCCUCAACCAAAGCCACAAGUUGAGAAAGAAAAGAAGUCCCAAGCUCAAGUCAAAAUCUACCAUGAAGAUGGUGGUGACAUGGGGAUGAUGAAGAAGAAGACAAGAAGGGGAGGAAGAAAAUCAAGAUCAUCAAAAGACCUCACCCACAUCAAGUGCUUUGAGUGCAAGAAUGAUGAACACUUUGCCUAGAAGUGUCCUACCAAGCUUGAGAAAAAGGCUCAAGCAACUCUCAAGAGACAAGGCAAUGAGAAGCAACACAUGAGCAAGGAAGAAAAGGCUCAACCCAAGAGAAGUUGCUACUUAUGCCGGGAAAGGGGACACAUGGCAUAUUCAUAUCCCCUAGGUAACACUUCUAACCUAGUUCAAUUGUUAAUACUAAUGUGCUUAGAAAGGAUGAUGAUGGUACCUCUAUGGUUUCUAUUACAAAACAUCCCGCUACUCAUACUAAGGCUAAGCCUAAGUAUGUUGCACCUAACUUGAGAGGACCCAAACUAGUUUGGGUACCACCAAAAAGUGGAUGAAUGUCUGUAGAUAUCAUUGGCAUUCAAGGCUUGAUUCAAUUGAUUUCAUAUUGAUCAUCACUUGUUGAGUCAAGUAUUGAAGCUUAUUGCAUAUCCUAUCCCAAUUCUAUGACAAGUUAGUGAAGUCCGAAUGCUACAACAUACAAGUGCUAUAUUCAAGCCGUGGAUGAUUUAUUGGAUUAUUUGAUGGCUUGCAAAGUUAUGAGUAAAAGCUUGCUAUAUGGAUGAUCAUGAGCUAACCAAGGUAUAUCUUGUUAAUUUAUUCAUUUGGGUGCAUAUGAGUUGAUUGAAUUGGUGUAUAUAUAUAUAUAUAUAUAUAUAUAUAUAUAUAUAUAUAUAUAUAUAUAUAUAUAUAUAUAUAAAAUGUUGCUUGCUACAAGAUGAUUGAAUGGAUUGAAUAUUCAAACAAGUCUAUUUCAAGUUUGAUUCAAUUUGAAGAAGUAUAGCUCAGUUGCUUGAAAUCUGUCCUAUAUUGAAAACCUGGGCUAGCUGCGAUCAACUCUGAGUUUGAGUGGUCAAAUCUAUUUAUAAUGGCUUGAAAUUUGAUAUGCAUGCUGUACACUUACCAUAGAAGAUGCUGUAGAAAUUUCAUGAGGAUUAGAUAAGGGAUACUCUAGUUUUGGAAUGGAUCUUGUCAGUUAUAGUGCAGCAGUUUUCGGCAUGUAAUAGUGGUGAGAAUUGAAAUCUGGUAGCUGUAAUACCCAAUUUUAAGAACAAAACCAGAUAUGCACCAUAUGUGAGUCUUAGAAGCCAAAUCUCACAUAUAGCUACAAAUAAGGGGUAAUAUCAAAAGACAAUGCAUAAGUUAUAUAACGUACUUAGUAUAAAAGAGAUAACCCUUAGUAACAAACAGCGGAUAGAUAACUCCAACUUCGGGUAUUAACUCCACUCUACAGGAUCCAACUGACUGGUUGAUCACAAGCCUAAACUUCUCCUUAGUCCAAAUGCUAUACUUGAUCCUGCUGGUCUUACUAGUUGUCCAAGGCUCUGAUCUUGAUCACUGAAGCACUCUUGUUCACCACAGAUUGCUCACCGUGUUGGUGGACAGAGAGUAGGUUCACCAGCAGUGACGCUUUCUUAGAGCUACAGCAACGCCGGAGCAGCCGACCGUUCGUAUAUGUCGUGUAUAGGUGAGACGAUGGCGAUCACGUUGUAGAGAAGAAAAUAUAAAUUUUAUUUUACUACCUUAGGAAUUCUCAAAUUAGAGGCUUCCCAUAUGAUAGUCUUUGAUGUGCUUUGUCUAAGGGGUUGGUACAUAUAUAUAUAUAUAGGGAGAAAAACUCCCCACCUCCACGUCCACUAGCGAUAUGGUACUAAUUGAUUUACAACCUUCAUCUUUACUAAUAGGCCUAAUUAAUUAUUAAAGCCCAUUAGUAAAUAAAGACAUUGACCAUUGAGAUCAUGGGCUUGAGCGUGAGAUAAAAUGAAAGAUUUUAUUAUUUUCGAAAUUAAUUAAUUUGGCGAAUAAAAUAAUCCUAGAAAAGUCCAGAAUUAUGAUUUAAGCCAUGAAAAAUACUCCGAAAGCUUCGAAAAUUCAGGAAAAAUUCUCAGAGAUAUUAUAGAACAUGGGGAACCCGAAUAAAGCUUUUGGAGCUCAUGAGAAGAUUGUUUGGAGCAUCUAAAAAUUAGAUCAUGCUCACAGAAAAAGUGAGAACAGAAGCUGAAAAAAUUCCCGAAAAAUUUGUAGAGAGUGCUUGAUGGACGAGGAACUAAAAGAAGUGCUUUGAGUGACAAAGAAAAUAUUUUAGAAAGGUCCUAAUAAAAAUUUGAGCUUAGAAACAAGGAAUUUGGUUGUAGAUAAAAGAUAAAUACGUGUCGAAUAAGGAAGAUCGAUCUAUUAAACGUAUUUUAAAUAUUUUUCUUACUAUCCACACAUAAAGGAGCAACAAGCAUCACAUCAAAACAUAUGCAUCAGCAUGUAUGCAUAAUAAUAUUGCCAAGCCUUAUGAUAAAUUUUAAUUUAAUGAAAAAUAUUAUUUUUCCUAUAUUUUCAUGAGCAUAAAAAUACAAAAUUAAAUAAUUUUAUCUAUAUUUCAAAAGGAGUAAAUUUUAGGGUGUUACAAUUCUACCCCCUUAAGAUGAAUCUCGUCCUCGAGAUUCGGAAGACGGUUAUCAAAGAGACGUAGAUUUUGAAUCUUGUUCACCUUUCUUGAGUAGUUAUAUCUUCAUAGCAAUGAUUCCACUCUCUUACUCCAAGUAGCCUCUCAAGUAUUCCUAAAAUAUUAACGAGACACCUAGUGUAGUAGGUACGAUCCUUCUUUAAACUUAUUUCUCCUAUCCUUUUUAGACGCUACACAUCAUAUAGUCUUUUAAAUUCGCUGUUCCGAGUCUCUUGAUCCAAGGUUAGUUUCAUCACUAAGUUCCAAUUAUCGGUACCUUUAUCACAGUUAAGUUGCUUCACUCUCACACUAUACAUACAACUCUGUAGACUUUGGUGUCAUCUGAUCCUCAUACACAACUCUUAAUCCAUAAGUAUCAGUAAUGACAUAAACCUCCAUUGGUAUUAGCACACUCCAAAUAGAAUGAUAUCUUGAAACAAACCAACAUACCAAGCACUUGAUGUCCUUGUAGAUGUUCUAACUAUUAACCACUUCUUCUCCUUGUAGUUCUUUAAUUGGGCUACCCCCUUAAGAAAAGUCAACUAGGGGACCAUGAAAGGUAGCUUGCAUACUUUCCAGACAAGUUAACAUUGAGAACUUAUGACAUUCCAAAGAACUUAUGUGCAGUGGAGCAAACAGGUACCCUGAAAUUUCCUCGCGAUAUGAAAAAUGCCAGCGUAGUAAAACAGGUAUAACUCUUAUUCUGUUAAUCCAAUAGAGUUGCAGAUAUAUCGUUAGAAAACUUAUGAAAUUCCCUACAACUUUCAUGUAGAAGUUUGUCUUUAAGCAUAGGUAAAAUAACCAAACAUAAUAUCCUUCAUGAUAAUGUCUCAGUAAAGGUGCAGUAACUUCCAAAAAUUAUAUCUCGAGCUACUUAACUCAUCUGGAGAUGAUCCUUACAUUUUUGAAAAUCUUAGGAAAUCCUCUACAACUUUCGUAUACCAUGUUUUUCCAGAUUCUGUCUUUAACUUGGCCGAAAAUAGGGAAUACCAAAACUGUCCAGACUUUGAUACAGAACAGAAACAUCCAAUUGUAAAUAUCAUAUCUCAGGUUCUACUUAGCCAAAUAAGUUCCACCUUAUACCGUUAGAAAUCUUAGCAAGUCGUCUAUAACUUGUCUAUAGAACACUUUUCCAAAUUCUAUAGUUAUAUUUGUCUCAAACAGCAAGUUCCCGAAACUGGUCCAGAUUCUGGACAGCACAUCUGUAUCAUCUUGUGAUUUUUUUAACUUCCAAACCAUAAUAGCUAUGAGGGUGAUUCUUGCGGUCAGAGAAAUAUCUUGAAGUCUAGUUGUUCCCAGAAAAAUUUGAUAAACUUUACAUGACCGGACCUUUAGAUACACCAGCAUUAUUGUAAACUGCUCCAGAAAUCAGCAAGGGAUAGAAACCAGAGAUAGCCAAACCCAACUAGCUACUUAUUUCAUUAAUCCUUAUGCCUUAGGUUUAUAAACUAAUGAAAUUGUGAAGUAAUUCCACAAGAUCAUUGCAAUCAUUACAAAGAUCCAAAUCAAACAUAAGCAUAAUAACAAACCAACUAAGCACACUUCAGUCAACUUGCGAUAUUAUCGUUCUCUUCAUUAAGGGCAAAGAUCCUAAAACUUAUGUUUCAAAGACGCAAGAAUGGGGUAAGAAAAGAUUCUAAUAGCAUACUGAAUCAAGGAGUGAAAGUGAGAACAUGUACUUUUAAAAUAAGUAACAAGGUGGAGACAAAUAGCAAGGAUAGGGAUAUAGUAUGGAUGAAAAUACCAAGGUUUAUGGAGCAAGAAUUUUAUGACAAUUCCAAAACCUUAAGACGACAAAUUUCUAACUAGGCUUGUCUCCUACAGUCAGCAUUGCUCUGAUACCACUUUGUAAUACCCAAUUUUAAGAACAAAACCAGAUAUACACCAUAUGUGAGUCUUAGAAGCCAAAUCUCACAUAUAGCUACAAAUAAGGGGUAAUAUCAAAAGACAAUGCAUAAGUUAUAUAACGUACUUAGUAUAAAAGAGAUAACCUUUAGUAACAAACAGCGGAUAGAUAACUCCAACUUCGGGUAUUAACUCCACUCUACAGCAUCCAACUGACUGGUUGAUCACAAGCCUAAACUUCUCCUCAGCCCAAAUGCUAUACUUGAUCCUGCUGGUCUUACUAGUUGUCCAAGGCUCUGAUCUUGAUCACUGAAGCACUCUUGUUCACCACAGAUUGCUCACCGUGUUGGUGGACAGGGAGUAGGUUCACCGGCAGUGACGCUUUCUUGGAGCUACAGCAACGCCGGAGCAGCCGACCGUUCGUAUAUGUCGUGUAUAGGCGAGACGAUGGCGAUCACGUUGUAGAGAAGAAAAUAGAAAUUUUAUUUUACUACCUUAGGAAUUCUCAAAUUAGAGGCUUCCCAUAUGAUAGUCUUUGAUGUGCUUUGCCUAAGGGGUUGGUACAUAUAUAUAUAGGGAGAAAAACUCCCCGUCUCCACGUCAACUAGCGAUAUGGUACUAAUUGAUUUGCAACCUUCAUCUUUACUAAUAGGUCUAAUUAAUUAUUAAAGCCCAUUAGUAAAUAAAGACAUUGACCAUUGAGAUCAUGGGCUUGAGCGUGAGAUAAAAUGAAAGAUUUUAUUAUUUUCGAAAUUAAUUAAUUUGGCGAAUAAAAUAAUCCUAGAAAACUCCAGAAUUAUGAUUUAAGCCAUGAAAAAUACUCCGAAAGCUUCGAAAAUUCAAGAAAAAUUCUCAGAGAUAUUAUAGAACAUGGGGAACCCGAAUAAAGCUUUUGGAGCUCAUGAGAAGAUUGUUUGGAGCAUCUAAAAAUUAGAUCAUGCUCACAGAAAAGUGAGAACAGAAGCUGAAAAAAUUCCGAAAAAAUUGUAGAGAGUGCUUGAUGGACGAGGAACUAAAAGAAGUGCUUUGAGUGACAAAGAAAAUAUUUUAGAAAUGUCCUAAUAAAAAUUUGAGCUUAGAAACAAGGAAUUUGGUUGUAGAUAAAAGAUAAAUAUGUGUCGAAUAAGGAAGAUCGAUCUAUUAAACGUAUUUUAAAUAUUUUUCUUACUAUCAACACAUAAAGGAGCAACAAGCAUCACAUCAAAACAUAUGCAUCAGCAUGUAUGCAUAAUAAUAUUGCCAAGCCUUAUGAUAAAUUUUAAUUUAAUGAAAAAUAUUAUUUUUCCUAUAUUUUCAUGAGCAUAAAAAUACAAAAUUAAAUAAUUUUAUCUAUAUUUCAAAAGGAGUAAAUUUUAGGGUGUUACAGUAGCAAUCUACAAGUCCAAUGAAGCUCAAAUUGUUACAGCUGCUAGAUUCCAAUGAAGCUCAAAUUGUUACAGCUGCUAGAUUAGGUAGUGAAGCACAAUUCCACCAAAUGUCAUGGUAUUUUGGUUUGUACCUUGUGAGAUAUGGAUUUAUCAUUGAAGGGUACAGAAUGUGCUAGAAAAGUGAUGUUUGUUGGAUUGAUCUAGAGUCACUUUGAUUGAAAGGUCCUCAAGUUGGAAACAUGAUUAUGAGUGUUUGAGGCACCUAACUUUGGUUUUCAAUUGAUCUUAGCAUGACAAAUAUUGAGUACAAGGCUAUUUGAUUGUGGAAUGUACUUGGUGUACACAUUUAGUACUCAAGUUGAAGAUCAACAUCAAAAUCAAGAUAAUAAUGAAGUAUAGGUUCUAGUGACUAUUGGAGAUCAUUUGGUAGAAAGAAAAGGACUUAAACAAGUAGAAAGAAAAGGACUUAAAGAAGAAUUCAUGGUUAAGCUUUAUUAGAUAUACGAUGAGAGAGUGAAGGCUGUAUAAAAUGUCUUGUGCCACAAAUACCACAUAUCUUGAGAGCAAGAGAGAAGGCAUCACUCCUUUCAAUGUCUUAGAGAGGAUCCAAAAAUACCAUAUAUUGAGAGACUUAAAAGGGUCAUACUAAAGAACUCUGAGUUUUAUUUUGAAAAUCUUAUAAAAACUCUAGAACAGAGGUGGAACAACAGAGCAUGAGACAACAAUGCUUAACUUAAUUGUUCUAUCUUUCAAUUACUCAAGACCCAAGUAUAGGUAAAAGCCCAUGAUUAGAAGAAAUAUGAGUAAGUUUGGAAGUUAUGAUAGUCCACUCUAUUCUAGGGAUGAACUCUUAUUUAAAGCAUGUGUAUGUGUAAAGAGUGAAAGUAUUGUAGCAACUCCUAAUCCAUCUCUUGUAGCUAUUUGCUCAGGGACAAGCAAAAGGUAAGCUUGGGGGAGUUUGUUGAUGGUUGUUAACCAUCAAUUUUAUAUGUCAAUCAAGGAGAGAAAAGGGGAUAAAAACUAAACAUCACCAUAGACUUAAGGUUUUCACUGACAAUUUCCACGAGUUUUGAUGAAUGUCUGUUUCUGCAGGGGGUUAUCGGAAAUUAACCAAAAGAGGCCCACAUGUCAGAUUUACAUAGAGAGAAGACCAUGUCAGUAACUCAAGAACAAUCUAGAAGACUCGAGAAGGCAACCCUACAAAGUGGGGCCCACCUGGCAGCUAGCCAGGGGCGGGCGCCCAAUGGCCAAGGGCGGCCGCCCGGGAAGUUCUAUCAAUUAGGUGCAACCUCGCGGAUCCUGCCUCCACCACCUUUGAGGAGUAAUCUUGGCCAUCUAUCAAGGUCAGUUUGAUCCGAGGGCUAUGGUGCUUCCUAGAUACUGAUGUUUUUUUAAAAUCUGUAGCAAAUCUUGUCACAAUGUCACAUGCCAAGUCUACACAGACAAAGAAGGCAUCACGCAGCAGCAAAUGAUGGCAGCAAACGUAAAACACCACAAGCACUGUAUCCUACCACGUAAGUGAAUUUAGGAGUUUCUUAUUUAAUUUUGCUGCAUUUUCAUAUGUCACAGGAGUGUGUUUCCUGAAAGCUGCAGAUUGUGUUUCUGUUUUCAGGUCAGAACGAGCUAGAGAUAGUGUGGUGCAGCAAUAGGAUCGUAGUGCUCACCGGCUCUUUUUGAAAGAUUUUAUUAGCAAAUCAUGAGUUAGUGCUGUACAAGCCAAUAAUAAUUCGUGUGAACAUUUGUACAAAAACAAAUGUUGAUGUAUCAAUAAAAAAGAUGAGCAGUGUCUUGUAGCAAUGUUGUGAUGAUGUGGCACAAAUUUGUGAUAUAAAAACAAAUUGUAAAAAGGCAGUGAAAAUUUGGUAAUAAUUUGUGAUGUUCUUUUUCGUCACUAUGGUUUGGAUCUGGGCUUGGAUACGGGCUGGUUAUAGAAGAUACACAACUAAUGCAUGACGAUCACAAAUUGGAAUCUAUGACGCCUUAAUUGGUCCAGCAAAUGUAUGACGUGAGAUACAUGACAGAUUUUUUGAUCGUCAUGGUAAGUUAACUAUGACGUAUUUUUGACGGUUUGUGACCAAAGUGAUCGUCAUGUAAAGCACCAUUCCUUGUAGUGAGAGGGCUAUAAAUACAAGUCUGACCCCGCCCCUGGGGAGAGAGGAUAAGAAGUAUUAUUAUUCUCAUCUGAGAAUUAGAGGUAGCCAUUAGCAGAGCCAGGGAUUAGAGAUAUCUCCACCAGAGAAUUAGAAUAGCUACUCCAAAUCUUCAUCUUCUACAUAGGUUUAGACUAGAUAGAGAAAAAGUCGGCACUUGUGCUCGGAUUUCCAGAUCUUCAUCAUCAAAGAUUGGUAUUAUCUUGUAUCUUUCUUUUGACUUUAUUUUAAAUAUCAUUAUGCUUCUAUUUAUUAUGUUUCUAGUUUAUUCUAGUUCUACAUUUGAUAUAGUUAUGAUUGGUGAUUAGUUUAUGUAUAUGUUUGCAAAGAGCUUAGCUCUCUUCACGAGAGGGUUAGGUGAUAGAUGUCAUGUAAGCAUGGUGCUUAGAUGUAGUUUAUCUACAAGUGCACCCUAUUGGCCGGGUCGUGUGGUAGAUCGCGGAAGUGGCAGUUCCGUUAAGUCCUUCAUAUUCCAUCCCCCGUUGGUAGGACAGGUAGAAUCGUAGUUACGUAGGAAGUCUAGCUAUGUCUUGGCUUUUUAUAGCAAUGUUCCUUAUACAUAGAUGAAGAGUCUUUUGUGCUAUAUAUAAUAAUGUAGCAUUAGAAUAGAUGAAUGACUUGGUAAAUUAGAACUACUUAGGAUUUUUUAUCUCUUAAACUAAUCAGACGUCGACCUACUAUUAAGCUGAGUAGUCUAUCUCUAAUCUCUGUGUGAUUUAUUUCUUGAGCUUUUAUAAUUCAUAUUAUUUAUCUAUCAUGGUUUACCCAUUUGCCAAGUAUGUGGCUAUGCAACCCAUCACUCAUAAGUAAUCAUGUUUUGCAAGUUUAUCUCAUUGUUUAAGCCCUUAGUUCUUUUCCUUGAGCUAAAUAUAAAUAACAACACCUAGAAUACUUUCCAGUGAAGUGCUGCAAUGGUAUUUAAUCUAUACGCUUGCGGAUCCUAUGUUUAUUUUAUUACUGGCAUAGUUUUUAUACCAACACUUUUGGCGCUAUGCUAGAGAUGAUAACUUAGCUUAAGUGGUGUUGGAAGUGUCAACAGUAAGACAUAGCGAUCACACACAAUAAUACUUUGGAGCAAUAGUAUGUUUUCGACCCUGAAUGAAGUGAGGAGAAAGAGUGGUGGGAAGAUUGCCAAAAAGCUCUACAAAAACACCGGUACCAAUCCAAACAUGGUGGGAUUGCAAAGGUCUUACAGAGUCAUCACCUCUGGGGCUACCACAACUGUCCAUGGGAUUGGGCACAAACUCAAGUAAACACUAGCCUAGACACCACAUCUACGCUAAUAAUUAGUACUCUAGUCAAGUACUAUAACUAGAGCACUCGAUAUGAGCGGAGAUCCUAUGCUAAAGGGAGAUAUAACUAUACUAACCAUACUAUAGAUAAACAAUUAAGGCAUGCACUAGAUAACAAGUUCCUAAAUCCAAAAGUACUAAAGCAACAGAGUAAUAGUGACACUCAGACUAUGCAAGACAAGUAAACAAACAAGAUACUAAUAUUAUUGCAUAGAAAGUAAUAUAUUGAAAUAAGGAAAGUACUAUAAGAAAGAUAUAUAGCUAUACCAUACUCCUGCAGACCGCUCAGGACUCUAGGAAGAGCUCCUCUUCACUCUAACUCUCACUCACACUAAAACCACAACUUGAGAGUAGAGAUAGUUUCUAUUAUGGUAUGCGUUACAAGUGAGUGUUAGAAAUUUAGAAAAAAUUAGCAGUAAUUUAAUCUAGAAAAUUAACAUAAUAAUUAUGUUGGUGACAUCAAAAAUAUAUGCUUGUGUGUUCUAAACAUGAACGUCAGGUAGACAAGACUAGCCAGCAAGAAUUUAACACAAGACCUUGUUGGAAAUAAGACUUUAGGAUUAUACCCAGUGGUACUAGAGCCGGUUACUCUAGUCGACAAGUAGUCGUCCCGUGCGAUGCCGUGUACUCCCUCCAUACACAUAAAAGAAGUCAUUUUAGACAAAGUUUGGGUCAAACUUUGAAAAUAUAAAUCAUGAAUAACUUUUAAGUUGUUGAGCCUGAAAAUAUGAAAACCAUAUAUGGAUAGAUUUAUCUUGAAAAAUACUUUUAUAAAAAUAUAUCUAUACCACUUUUUUAUAAAUAUUUUUAUAAUAAUAAGAAGUCAAAGUUAGACUUUGGAGACCGUGCUAUUGUCCAAAAUGACUUGUUUUAUGGGUAUGGAGAGAGUAGAUAUGUAGAAGUGCCGAUCGACUCGAUGACGUAUGCAGCCACUAGGAAGAAGAGGGUGACGCGAUUAGUCAUGCCGUCAGCGACACUUCCCAAAAACAUGAUUACCGUCCUUCACCCGUGCAGAUGAACUUGAAGAUGGCAGGUGUUCCGGAGGCCUACUCUCCUAGUUCCUGUGCACGCAAGAAUCAGGAAAGAGAUGACAGAUAGCAGCGCAACAGUAGUGUGAUGAUGUUUUUGUCUAUGUGUUCUCAAUUCUCACAAAAUAAGAGGAGUUCUCCUUUUAUACAGCAACACAAGAAGAUAAAGCCAAAGGGCCAGGUGUAUGAAGAAUUAGUAGUCAUCAUGUCAUUGUCUAUUACAAGUAACUUAUAAAACCGAUAAUUCAAUUAUCUGUUACUAGUAAUGGAAAUCACUAUGACACCAUAAACCACUAAAUCAUGAUUCACCAUCACAUAAUGGUCAUCAUGCACUUAACCCUCAUCAACCCAUAAGUUACACCACAUAAAGGAUCCAACUUAAUACACGUAGCAUUAUCUUUGAUCUUGGAAUCCUAAUUGAUUUAAUUGCUAAAUAAAAAUUGACAAACCCAAUUAAAUCCAACAUAGUGAGGGGUGAGGGUCCUAUUUAUAGCCUAAGGUGGAGUAGGGGGCUACUCCAACUUCACGUCAAUGAUCCACAUGAUGUUCCUUGGUUACCGUUGGAUGAAACCGCCAUAGAACCGACUUGGAAUGGAUGUUUUAGAUCAUCUGAGGUGCAUGACGACAUGCUCGAAGUCGGUGUAGGUGAUUGGCCACUAAGGGGUGUCGCUCGGCCCUCUUGGUUGGCUCCCAAAGGCGGUUGUAGAGGCAGCACGUGCGAAGAUUUGGACAGGAAGUUAGUUUGAAAUUCAAUUGGAGACCUCUAAGAUAAUGACAAUGGGCAAGUGGAUCCACGCCCACUCCAUCUUGGCCAUCAGUUCGAACCCACAUAGAUCGACGAAUGAGAGAGUUUGUGGAGCAUCUCCCAUAGAUUGGUGAUGUGGACAAUGCCAAAGUGGUAUAUGAGGGGUCGGGCGGCACCCAAGUGGGUCCACCCCGGUGGGCUCAAGCAGUGGUCCUGCCAUGUCCACUUUCCUCCUAUGUGUGUAUUUAUCACCAUUCUAUCCAAAAUUUCUGCAUACAAAUGUACUUCCAUGUACAAGUGGAACUAGGUGAAUUAUAAAGCAAAUUCUACACAUGUGAUGAUGUUUUCCUCCAUAUUGGUGCUAUGUUGAUGGUCAAAAUAAGCAUUUAGUGACCAUCAACAAGCUGCCUACACUAAACCGUCGCUCGUCCUGACCAAAGCGGGAAAACAAAGAUUCAGGUGCAACAUGAAUGAAGCAAGAAUUAUAAAGGGGCUGUUUAAUUGGUGAAAAUUGUUGGUUUUAGUUACUGUAGCACUUUCGUUUGUAUUUGACAAUUAUUAUUCACUAGUACAGGGAAGGGGCGAAGGGCUUUAGCCCCGGGCCGUAAGGGCCUUUAGUCUCAGCUACGGAACCGGAGCUAAGGUUUCGGGACUAAAUGUCCCACCUUUAGUCCCGGUUCCACGGACCGGGACUAAACGUCCACCUUUAGUCUCGGUUGGUAACAGAAACUGGGACUAAAAGGUGCGCCCGGGUGUGCCACCUGGCCUCCACUUUUAGUUCCAGUUGUUGCUACCAACCGAGACUAAAGACUUUUUUCUUUUUUUCUUUUCUUUUCAUUUGGUUUUCCAUUUAGGGUUUACAAUUAUGUUAUUAUCAUUUUCGAAUGUGUAUUGUUUGCUGGUAGUUUAUGGAACGCGCACAUAUAAUUUAUAUAAUUUAAAGCAUUACAUAUAAAUAUACUAUAAAACACCAUAUAUAUAUAUAUAUAUAUAUAUAUAUAUAUAUAUAUAUAUAUAUAUAUAUAUAUAUAUAUAUAUAUAUAUAUAUAUAUAUAUAUAUAUAUUAUAUGUAUCUAUAGGUCCAUAAUAUAAUAUUUACACAUAUGCUUCACGGAUAACUUAUUUACAACACAAUUUAUCUCCGCCACUCAAGCAUCGUACAAAUGAUCAUCGUGAUUUGGUUUCAUCGGCUCCUCGGGGUUGAAGUAGAACUCGCUGCCGACAUUCAGGACUUGGUCAUUAAGAAAUCCUGCGAUUGUCACAGUGUGCAACAAUUUUUUUAGAAUUGGCCCCAAGUACUUGUCCUGUACCCUCAUCGAAUUCCGACAGAAUAUACCGACCCUCCAAUGGCUUCUUCAGGCCGCGCACUUUUCGCCGAUUUAGAGGGCUACACAAACAAUUAUAAAUAUAUUAAUACAAAUACCAUUUAUUUUAAUUUCAUAAAUAUACAUAUAUACUAGAUUAUAGAUAGACCUCAUCAGGAUUGUCUCCCACAAGUUCUUCAUAAUCAGCAAAGUACUGACUCCCAUCAUUUUCGUCUUGGGAUCUGGAUUGGCGCCGUUGUUGAUUAGGUCCAUCAUUGUAUCAUCCAUGUUGUCAUUCGGAUUGGCCAUUUCUGCAAAUUUAAUCAAGUGUUAAAAGUUAUUUGUCAAAUCCCGUACUUAAUAUGUCCAACUCAAAAGUAUUUGGAUAGGCUAAACUUAGACAAUAUUUGGAUACAAGAACUAAUUAUUAGUUAGCUAAAAAUUAGAUAAAAUUAGCUAUACUGCAUAGAGGGCUAAAUAUUUAUAUGUAUUAAAAUAUUUAUCCACACAUUUUGAGAUUUUUAUCAUAAAGAUAAAGAUAGCUUUUGAGUGGCUUUAAGAGAGUUUUUUUAUUUAGAUUAGGAUUUAUAUAUGAUAUAUCAGUUAGAUGCUUUUGAGUGGCUUUAAGCCACCAUGGCCAAGCCGUUCGGCCCGUCGCACCGCCCGUUCACCAUGCUACAUGUCGCGGGCCUCAUGGAGUGGCCAUGGGCGUCUGCUUAAAAUGACAUCACACAGCAAAAUGGAGUCAUCGUCACACGCCUCAAGGCUACACGUCGUGGUUUUGACAGUCGAGACUCGAGAGCUUUGACACCAAGACUCACCAUCCUUGCACGCAGGGCUGCCGUAGAUCCCUUAACCCAUAGGACCUACCGCGUAGCAAGGGACUAGGAUAUGGGACGUAUGCUUAUGUCCUGUUAUGCGUCACGAAAAGAAGUAGGGCCCGAUACCAUGUGUUAGUGUGCUCGAGUGCUCAUAGACACGUGAAAAUGCUCUAGUAAUUUAGAGCAAGUUGACCCCGAAUAAGGUAUUAUGAGAAAUAUAGUGUCUUUUAUUUUGUUCUAUGAAGAUAUAGAAAAGUCAACAAAUUCAACCGCAAUAGUCUUUGUCCACUAUGUGUGUAAGAAUUAUUUUUCUCUUGUUAUAACGAAUGGAUAUAUUUGCUAGUUAUUACUCAAUUGGCCUGAAAAAAACUUAGCUCUAGCUUCUGCCUUAAGUUAUAUAUAAGUCACUUAGACAAAUUUCAUUAAGCUAUGAGAGAAAACAUAUACAGCUUGAGAUUAUAUUAGAGUUUGUAUUUCCUAUUUUUAUUUUAUUAAGUCAUAAUCAUUAUGUCAAGUUGAUGCAAUAAUUAUGAAUCUAUUGUCGGUUUCUGCAAAAGCACACAACCUAAAAACAAAAAAAGCUUGACAGCCUAAUCUAUAUCUCUUAUAAAGCUAAUGCACACUACAAGUUCUAUCUUAACAUGUCGCCUUAUAUCUUUUAUAGAAAUGUAUUUGAUUUCUAAAAAAACGAAUUGCAUUAGGUUCAAAUAUAUCAAUUAAUGAAUAAUAUCUAUAAUGAAACUAUAAAUAAUAAUAAAAUAAUACAUAAGUAAAUAGAUAAAUUGAAGUAUUAGAUAAUUUACAACAACAAAUAUAUUAGGUUUAAUCUAAAUUAGAAAAUAUUUAAAUUAUUUAACCUUUAUGUAGCAUUAAUAAUAUUAAUAAUAAUAUUAAAGGGUAUUUUAUAUAUGCUAGUCAAUAGUUUUAAUGCACCAUUCAUAUAGAAAUUAAAUAAUUAGUCAUUAAUCAAAGAGAAUUUUUUAAAUAGAUGCAUUACAUCUUGUUCUUCGUGGACACAAAUAAUCGUUGGAUGUUUUAUAUUUUUGUCGAAUACAUAUCAAUUAGAUAGAGAAAAACACUAAAACACUUCGGUGCCGGAGAAGAUGGCGCGGCGCUCUGUACGGUGCUCGGCGGCCGGGGACGAGGGUCGGGGACGAGGGCGUCGAUGCUAGGGACGAGGGCCGGGGAUGAUGGUUGGCAGCGGCGGCGCUCCCUAGGCUCGCGGCGCUCCCGGGGACGAGCUGUCGGCAGUGGCGGCCAGGGACGAGGGCGCGAGGCGACGACAGGGAGGAGCGGCGCGAGGCAGAGGAAAUUAGGGCAACGACGACGGGGAGGAUCGAGGAGAAAGACGACUGUGCGCUUAAAUAUACGCGGGGACCUUUAGUCCCGGUGCGUAUCACCAACCGGGACUAAAAGGUGUUUAGUCUCGGUUAGUGAUACGCACCGGGACUAAAGGUAGUUUUGCUGUUUCUUAUUUAUUUAUGCUUACAUUAAUUAGAUUAAUUUUGUUAAUUGCAUAGUAAAUAGAAUAAUAGGUAUUAAUUUGUUAAAAAAGAGUUCCAUAUUUUUUGUCUAAUUGCUUACAUAAUAAAUUUGGAAACAUAAAAUCUUUCAAUCUCUUAUAACAUAAAAUCUUUCAAUCUCUUAUAUUAGCAAACUUAAAUAUGAAAAAUAAUUAGUAUUUUGUUAAUGCAAAAAUGUAUUAUUUAAUUUUAAUAUCUUAAAGUAGGUGUUUUUGAUAGAAAAUUUGUUUGUGUAUUAUUUAAACGUAAAUUUUGUUCAUUUAUCAUCAUUUAUCUCCAAAAUCGUGAUAUACGUGAUAUUCACCAUUACAUCGGAUUAUUUUUUAAAGAUUUCUUCUCUAUUUCUUAUUUAUUUAUGCUUACAACAAUAUUCACCAUUACAUGAGAUUAUCUCUACCAACUUUUUAUUCAAAUUUUUUUAUUUCAAGUCAUCAAAUGGGUCAUUUGACCAAGUUUGACCAAAGUCAAAGCAUUGGUUUUUAGAAACACACACUUUGACCGAACCCUAGAUGGUCCCAAAUAGAAAAGUAAUGAAUACAAUGUUUGUUACACUCAUCAAAUUCUACAUUUGGUCUAGUGGUCAAAUUUUUUUUUGGAAAAGUUUGAACCACUCAAUUUUGAAUUUUGAAAGAAUUCAUAGCCACGCAUCGGUUUUCGGAACCAAUAUUGUUCCACUUAUCAAAAUCUACAUUUGAUAUAUAGACUAUUUUUACAUUUGACAAAGUGUUGGGAAGGUGUAGUUGAAAAUCCACAAUUGACACAUAUAGUUUCAUAUAGUUUGUGUGAGAUUCAAGAUUUGGUGGGUAUUGUGAACUUAAACUUUCUCAAAUGGAAAAAUUGUCUAUAUAAAAAGUUUAGAUUUGAUGAUAUCUAACAACUUGGUAUUCAAUUUUUUUUCAUUUUAAGUAAUUUAGUUUGUCAUUUGAUCAAGUUUGACCAAGUUUGACUAUUUUUGCAUUUGACAAAGUGUUAGGAAGGUGUAGUUGAAAAUCUAUAAUUGACACAUCUCUUAUAAUAGUAAACUUAAAUGUCAUUUCCCACAAGUCAUUUCAUUAUUUGAAAUGAUAUAAAAUAAGAAAAACUAAUAUAAACAUCUUAAGUUACAAUUGUCACAUACACAUACUCUAAUGCAAUCUAUUUAUUAGGCGGGCACAAUAGUGAUCUUCUUUUUGACGUAUGUUCCUUAGUCAUGAUCUUGACGUAACCAUGGAGUGUCCUCAGCAUUUAUCAGUAUGCUCGGAUCUUUGGUCACAUGGAAAGGCGUGAUUCGGUCAUCCCUUUCAUAAUCUUCUGAAAUAUCUGACUUGUCCUCAAUUCCCACAAUGUUUCUUUUCCCUGAGAGAACUAUAUGGCGUUUUGGCUCAUUUGUUGAUUUCUUGUCAUUUUUCCCUCUCUUGUGUUUUGUAGACAUGUCUUUCACAUAGAACACCUGAUUCACAUCAGCAGCAAGGACGAAUGGUUCAUCUUUGUAACCAACAUUGUUGAGGUCCACUGUUGUCAUUCCAUAGUCUUUGUCAACUGUCACCCCACCUCCAGUAACCUUCACCCAUUGGCACCAGAACAAAAAGACUUUAAAAUUAGGUGCAUAGUCUAGUUUCCAAAUCUCCUCUAUACAGCCAUAAUAUGUUUGUCUGUUUCUAAUCGGGUCUAUGGCGUCUACGCGAACCCCACUAUUUUGGUUCGUGCUUCUUUUAUCUUGGCCUAGGGUGUAAAAUGUAUUUCCAUUUAUCUCGUACCCUUUGUACGUGAGGAUGUGCCAUGAUGGUUGUCUAGCCAACAAAUAUAGUUGCUCAUCAAUAUGGUCAUUACCCUGACAUUCUUUUCGUAACCUGUCUGAUAGUUUAUUGAUCCCUAGCCCAACCUUCUUCACAUGACCCACAUAGCCGAAAAUCUUCAUAUGAUCAACUCUAGGCUUCUUGCCAUACCAAGCCUCAUAUGGUGUAACACCAUUUAAGCUUUUUGUUGGAGAUCUAUUCAACACAUAGACAGCUGUUACAACAGCCUCUCCCCAAUAGCAUGCUGGAAUCUGCUUGCUUUUCAUCAUACACCGAGCCAUCUCCACUACAGUCUGAUUCCUUCUCUCUACCACCCCAUUUUGUUGAGGAGUAUAAGGUGUAGUGGUAAAAUGUCUGAUGCCAUACUCAUUGCAAAAAACACUGAACUGAGUUGAGUUGAACUCACCACCUCUGUCAGUUCUGAUUGCUUUGAGCUUACUAUCAAGUUCAGUUUCUGCUCUUGUCUUCACCUUCUUCAAAUAAGAUAGUGCUUCAUCUUUGGACUUUAAUAAUUCAAUCCACAUAUACCUGCUGUGAUCAUCAACAACUAGCAAGAAAUAGUGCUUGCCACCUGGUGUUGGUGGUGUGAUUUUUCCACAGAGAUCUGUGUGAAAUAAUUCAAGUCCAUUCAGAGCUCGGUACUUACUGACACUUGGAAAGGGGGCUCGAUGUUGUUUUCCCAAAGUACAGCCAUCACACACCUGCUCCACCCUGUUAACAGUGGGCAUACCAGACACCAUAUUCCUUCUUCCAAGCUCCCGGAGAGAUCUGAAAUUAAGAUGCCCAAACCGUGCAUGCCACUUCCAAGCAUCAUCUUCUAAUUUAUUCACAAGACAGACAGGUGACACAGUACUGAACUUGUGCACAUAAAGACAAUUUGCAGUUCUACUAGCCGAGAUAAGUAAUGCAUGUCCUCCUUGAUCAAAGACACUGCAUCUGCCAUCCUUUAACGACACCUCAAACCCCUUCUCCUCCAGUUGGCCCAAACUAACAAUAUUAUUCUGAAGCUUUGGAAUGUAAUAGAUGUCAGUUAAUACCUUGUGUUCCUGCUGUCGUCCUUGAAUUACCAUGGAGCCAAGCCCAUGUAUUUCCAUGCUUGAUCCAUCACCGAGUUUCACAGUACCACGAACUCGAUCAUUUAGAUGGGUGAGAGCAUCACGACACCCUGUCAUAUGGUUGCUAGCACCUGUAUCUAGCACCCAAACACCUUCUGGGCAAUCAACCGGCACCACCUUCUUCUCAGUGAGAUGAAUCACCUCUACAGGUAAUUCUGUGAUGUCUUUUGCCACCAAGAGGAAUAGUGCUGGAUUAUGAUUAGCACCUGCCACGGCGACAUUUGCCUCCUCGUGCUUGUCUUCUUUCUUCAACUUCUUAGGCCUUUUACCGUCCUCAGCCCAAUGGCCAUAUAUGCCACAAUUUCUGCAUCUUCCCUUCCUCCGAGGUGUACCUUCUGAGGUGAGCUUCACGCUGCCAGCUGCUUUGGAUCCACCACCAUCAUGACGAUGCGGUUGUUUGCCUUUGCCUCCACCAGCACUGCUACUUCCUCCAGGACGACCUUGAGUGGAUUGGAAACGGUGCUUGUGUUUCUCAAGCCACUCAUCUUCGACAAGUAAUAGACGGCCUGCCUUAUCAGUGAUUUGAUCAACCUUCUCCUCGAACCGAUCUUCAGCAACGCGUAGUCUCCCAACCAUUUCCUCCACUGUGAGAGUUUUCAUGUCACAGAACAUCUCAAUGGAUACUGCAACUUGAUUGAAUCUGGGUGGCAGUACGCGCAAAAUUUUCUUGACAACACGAGGAUCAUCAAUUUUCUCACCAAGGGUUUUCAACGUGACAACGAGGUUCACGAUUCGCAUGCCGAAGUCCUCCACGCUUUCUCCUUCUUUGAACUCGACGUUCUCGAAUUCUUUUAGGAGUUUCUGGACACUGAUCUCCUUCACACGAUCUGCUCCAACCCUCAACGUUUUCACCACAUUCUAGGCCUCUUGCACCGUCUUCUUCGCGCUAAGAGUCGCCCGCAUCUCUUCAGGAACGGAUCUCAUCAAUCCGCUCAUGGCUUGCCGAUCCUCGGCCCUCUUCACAUUGGUUCCGGGAUCAAUCGUCUCCCAGAUCUCCAGCGCCUCAUAGUUGAUUUGCAUCAACAUAGCCCACUCGACAUAAUUCGUACGAGUUAACAUCGGCCAAACCAACGAGCUCUCCUUGACGCCGCUUGACUUCGAACUCUCGCCUUUCGUCAUCUCCUCCUUCUCGACUUCACCUCACAUGACCGUGACGUGGUCUGGAACCUCUACAGCUUUGAUACCAAUUGAUGGAACCGAGCUCACAGGAUCGAGCUCAGCGACGGCGCGACGCCGGCAGAUGGCGUUCGCGGCAACUAAAAACUAGAGCGUGAACCGAGAAGAUGGAAAUAAUGACAACGAGAUCAAUUUGCCCAAACACGGCGUAACCUUGCCUUACGCUUUCGUUCAGUUUAUAUAGGCCCACGGCCUUGUCCCCCGUCGCUACGACGCCUUCUCUGAUCGCCCGUUAUUUCCGGAACGCCAGAGAGACAUGCACAGACGACGUCGCGACGGGGCUGGACUCUAAUACACGGUCCCGGCGAGGUUCACGCACAUCUCUGAACCUCCCAGAAUUCUAAAUAUAGCAAAAAUCUAAAACAGGAUUACAUGAAGUAAACUAAGACACUUCUAACAUACCCCCAUAAAAUGAGUAAGCAGCUAAGUAAUUUAGCUCAUAUAGCCCAUGAAAUUUCCACCAGGCGCCGCUGAAUGUGGGAAGUGUUGAGUAGCUGGUGUGCUACUAGUGCUGCUGUUAAUUUGUUGGAAGUUGUUAUGUUUAAUUUCCUAGAAGUUGUGAUAUUUAACUUGCUGAAAGUUGUUAUAUUUCUGUUAAACCUGGGUAUAGGAUAUCCGUCGAGUAAGAAUUACACAUCGGGUACGGGUAUAGAAUGAAUUCCUUACCCGUCUGCUUUCGCAGUAACCCGAUGGAAUAGGUUUUGACCUGGCGGGUGCGGGUAUGGUUGGCUAGUACCCAUCGGAUACGUACUCGUUGCCAUUUUGAAUCACUAUCGUUACCCUAUGUACUUGGAGAUUUUAUAACUUAUGCAAUUUUAAACAUAGCUUAUAUUCUUCUCAAAUGAUACUCUCAAAUCACUCAAUGGUGUAUGUAUCCUCACCAAGGCAUUAUUGUUUUGCCUUACAUCCUACUCUCAAGUUUACUUUGGCGAGCCCAAAUUUUGGCCACUAAUGAAAUGGAUACUUUUUCUUUUUGCUGUUGGACAAAAUUUAGCUCGCCUUUUUAAGCUAAAAAACUAAGAUGUACCCGAAAAUCUAAAACUUUACAAGAUUCUCCAUCACAUCAAAUCUUUCGACACAUGUAUGAAAUAUUAAAUAUAAAUAAAAAAGAUAACUAAUUACACAGUUACCUAUAAAUCAUGAUACAAAUCUUUUAAGUCUAGUUAUUCUAUGAUUAGACAAUGUUUGUCAAAUAAAAACAAAAUUGCUACGGUGAAAAUUCAAAAAAAAUUUGGAUCUAAACAAAACCUAAACACACACACUAGUACAGUGUUUGCUUCGGGACGGUCGAUUGGGUGCCGGGUUUCGCCAUGGACAUGGAGGAUGGGAGCGGCAGCUCGUCGUCUCCAGCCAUCCUACGGAACAAGUACUGGAUCCUCCGCCACGGCCGCAGCGUCCCCAACGAGCGCGGCCUCAUCGUCUCAUCUCUGGUACUAAUCUCUCCCUCCGUCCCAGCAGGCCUCUUUCGAUUUCCUUCGAUUUCCCGCACCAAGCAUCACCUACCCCAAUCCAAGGCUCUCCAACUGAUGCCAUCUUGGUCUGCUGCCGGCAGGAGAACGGCACGAAGCCGGAGUUCGGGUUGGCCCCGCAGGGUGUCGAGCAGGCCCGCGCGGCCGGCGAACAGUUCCGGAAGGUACAGGAUUGGUGUCUCACUGCUGUGGAUUCUUGGAUUGGAUGCGCGGUAGUGAAUCUGGCCUGUGCAGGAGCUUGAGGAGAUUGGUGUGCCGGUGGAUUCUGUCAAGAUUCGUUACUCACCGUUCACACGGACCACCGAGACGGCUAGAGUGGUCGCCGGUGUGCUUGGCAUCCCCUUUGAGGGUCCUAGCUGCGAAGUGAGUUUGGUUUAAUUCUGUGUCCUUGAGGGUCCUAGCACUUAGAUUUUUGUCUUGAGUUGGAAUUUUGUGUAUGGAUGGUUGGUGAUAUAGACUUUAGAUUCAUUGGGCACUUCGGCAGUAUGAUUAUGGUAAUUUGGAGGAUCAAGGCUUGCUACCUUUUAUUUCUGUGAGAUAUUAUUGGAGCAAACAUGGAAUUUGUCUUUCUGUUUACUUUUUCUCUUUAUUGUCAUUUGCAGAACUAGGUUGCAAUGUUAGAGCAUCUCCAAAGGCUUUGGCAAAUUGACUUGGCAUUUGUUGCUAUUUGCAAACUCCCAUAACAAAAUGCAAAGGAUAAAAAUAGGUCAUCUCCAAGGAAAUUGGCAUUUGGACUUGACAAUCAAUAAAAAUAGAAGGUCUCUAGGCGCGCGCGCUUUGCUCGCGCGAUCGGGUUUGCAAAGUCGUCCACGGCUUGGCAUUUUUGCUAAGUUUGCUCCCUCAUUUGCCAAGUUGCCCAAAUUGCAAACUCCAAAUGCAAAACCGUUGGAUACCUCUUUUGGAGCUUUUUGGCAAAUUACUCAAAUGCAAACCUCAAAUGCAAAACCCUUAGAGAUGCUCUUACUGUGCCUGCAAAAACAAUCAAGACAUGAAAACUGAUUGGUGCACAUGAAAACAUCAAAGUAUUCAAAUGUUGUACCCAUGGUUUAACUUUUUGGUGUUUUGAGUUAUGAUUUCUAAGGCAUCCUAAAUCAUUACUGGGGUAAUAUCGGAAUGCAUCUAAUUUGCUUCAGUGUUAUAAGGUCAUAGGGAUGAAUGCUUGAUCAGUACUCUUCUACAUUUCUAGUGCUGCCAUUCAAUGUCAAGAUAUUGCAGCCAAAGGUUCUCAAAUCAGAUAUUCCUCAUAAUUUUUAUGGUCUGGUAGGCUCAUAAAAGGUCUUUUGCAGGCGGUGCUGGGACUCCGUGAGCGCUACUUUGGGCCAUCAUAUGAGUUACUUUCACAUGAUAAGGUGGGUUUCCAUUUUUGAAUUCAAGUUAUAUUGUUUCAGUAUAAAUGAAGAAGCAUUCUUCUCAUAUGGGCUAAUGGGCAUGUACUUGGGUAUGUGAUACAAGUUCAAUUCUAUAACAUGAAUUGGUUGGUGAAAUCUAAGUGAUGCAUUAUCAUCUAUAAUCUAAGAAAUCUUAGUCCUCCUAGCAACCUCCGCUUUGCCAGACACAUAAAAACGUCUUUAUGGAUCUCCAUCAUCCUUGUACUCAUCCUUUCAACUUUGUCAGUCGCUGAUACAGAAGAAUGUUAUAUUUGAACCCACAGUUUGUCCAGCUGUUUCUGCAUCCGAACUACCUUUGCCCCUGAAGAGAUAGUUUUGAUGCAGAAACAGCUGGACAAACUGUGGGUCUGGUGGAGACCAACACAAGGUGGAGACACUGCUCAUAGGGUGUGCAACCACCCCUGUGUUGUGCUCGGCCAGGGCAGCUGGUGCCCUGUCCUUCAUCUCUACUGCCUCUUGGUCAGGUGGACCAACCUGGGCUGCACCACCCUGGCCCAUUCGCAUGACACGUAUUGUGUAGGAAGUCAGAUAGUUUUUUUUUCAGAUUUUCAGAUAAGUUUUUUCACUCUGAUCUGGAAAUUUUUUUUUUGUCCCACACCAACAACACAGAUCAACUGAUUCAGCCUGGGCAUUCGGUUUAAACCAACAAAUCGGUUCGGUUUGUUCGGUGCCUGCAAAUUUCGGUUUUCAGAAAUCAACCACCGAUCGGCUUCCUAAAUAACUCAAAACCGAAGAAUUCGGGUGUCGGUUUGUCGGUUCGGUUAUUCGGUUUCAACCGAACAAGCCGAAGCUACCACAGACAAGGAAAAAUCGAGAGAAGAACGAAUUGCGCCAAAUCAAGAACAAAAUUGCGCUACUGCAGCGCGGCUGGCGACUCGCCGGAGCACCCUGCUCACCUCCACCGCGCCCGCCCUCUCCUCGUGAGGUCGGGGACGCGAACCGCUGCCGCCGCCGCUCACCGACGUCGCAGCGCCCGGUCCCUGCUCGCUGCACGCGUGGUGGGGGCGCGCGGGGCCACCGCUGCUCGUGGCUCGCCGGCGCUCCCUGCUCGCCGCAGCUCAUCCUCCCUCUGCUUGGCGGCGCUCCUGCUCGCGCUAGGGUUGGACGAGGAAAUCGCGACUCACGGUCACGGACGAGUUGGGAUGUGUUCGAUGCAGGAAAGGGACGGGAGGUGCGUGCGUGAGUUGAGGCCAUGUGGGCCUGCGACUUGAUUUUGCUUAUUUGCUACGUGGGCCAAAUACGUUGGUGAGAUGGGCCAUGUGGUAACGUGUGUGGCUCGGCAACAACAACAUCUCUGUGUAAUGAAGAUCGGUUCCUUCGGUUAUUCGGUUUCUGGGGACUCGAAACCGACGAUACAGCCGAACACCGAAGUUCGUAAAAUCAGAAACCGAACCCGAAACCUAAAACCGAAAAAACCGAUAUUUCGGUUCGGUUCGGUUCGGUUUACGGUUUUCGGUUAAAAAGUGCCCAGGGUGACAACUGAUGGUUUUAUUAUGAUUUAACAGGUGUAGUGUGAGUCCAAGUUCAACCACAGUUCUCGCUCAUCAUAGCAAUUGAUAGUGUAGUUGUAAACUUUUUGCGCCACUUUCGAAAAAAAAAUUGUGCCACUAUAAAUUUAUUUUUUAUGUUUCUUUCGGUUACUAAAACUGACAUUAUUAAGUAGUAUGCAGACAUAUGGUCAGUAGAUGAAGCGCAUCCCUAUUCGGCUCCUGAAGGUGGUGAGAGUGUUGCAGAUGUUGCUAGUAGAUUUUCAGCUGUGUUGUCAUCUAUGGAGACAGAGUUUAAUGGGUAUAUAUUCAUAUGUAUUGACAGAUUCAAUUCUUUUAUUUUGUUUUCUCGUUCUACUAUGACAUUUCUUUUUUAUGAAACUACUACCAAAAUGAUAUAAUUUGCUAAUAGCUUGUGUAUGCUAAGUAUAUAUAUAAAGGCAAUGGACCACAACAUGUAAGUUUGUAGGGUUUCCCUGUCUAGUUAUCAAUCUACCAGGAUUCUGGAGUGUCAACAUUCUAACAAUGUCUGUUCAUUUAGAAGAUAUUUAAGAUUCAUAGAUUUUACUAUUGCAAUGGCUACCAACUGGUCACAUAGUUCGCGCUGACUUGUUAAGUCAUGCUUGGAUCUGUCUUGCUGAAGCUUACUUGUGUGUUUUGUUCCUUGCAGCUCUGCAAUUCUUAUUGUCAGCCAUGGUGAUCCACUACAAAUCUUUCAAGCUGUCCUCAGUGGAGCCAAGGAGAACUUGUCUUUCCUCGACAAUCUGACCAACCUGAAAGCGAAAGACACGGUGGUGGCAUCCAUUCUGUCACCGCACCGUAAGUUUGCGCUCAACACAGGAGAGCUGCGCCAAGUUGUGUAACUUGCUGCUGCUUGGAUUUCACGUUGCUAGUCAAUUGAUGAUAUGUAAACCUGCAAUUUUUGCCUAGCACAUUCCUCUGUAACUUGACAGGGAUCUAAAAUAAUUGGUCUACUAGAAUGUCAUAUCUGUUUAAAUAUCUAAUAGACGCACAUUCAUUCAUAUUGAGCAAGCUCUUUCUAUCUUCAAAGAAUGUCAGAUCUUGAAAUUCGUCUACUAGAAAGGCUAUAACUCCAGAAAUCUGAUUUUGGUGAAGCAGCCUAAAUAUUUGGUUGGUCGUUGAAUGUUAUUCAGAUCGAGCAUUGUAUGAUUGAAACCCAGCUGUCUUUUAUUUUGUUCUUUUUGAAUAGUUUUGCUAAUUUCUCUUCGUAUGAUUUGAGUUUCAUUUCAUAUUCUACUUCCAAGUCAGAGCUCAGACUUUAUCCGGCAGGCCGAUUGUUUUGCAUUCAUUCCCAAGUCUACCGGUGUGUACUAAUCAUGAUGCUGUGCCUUGAUCCUACGCAAGCGAGAGGAAAAAAAUGAGGCUAGAGUGGAUGUUUCAGUUCCUAUGGAAUGCGUUCAAAAUCGGUAGCAAAGGAAAAAUUCCUCUACCUCUCCUACAGUAUCUAUUCCUAUGGAUUGUUGAUUUAUGAGUUUUUCCUUUGGAAAUCCUCCCUUCCAGAUACAUUGUGGCGAGUUUAGCUAUAAUUAAUUGGGAGAAGGCUUCGUGAGCAUGAGCGUAAUGGCAACCAAUACACUGGAAAAUUGUCUCGUCACCAGAAUUUAGCCUUCUCUUGAUUUGAUUUUUUUUCUUACCACUUCUAGGUUUCCAUGUUGUACUUGAUUUUUGUAUGGUCUUGACCUUUCCUAGAUUAGUAUAUAGUAUAGGUAGUUGAUAUGGUUCGCUCUAGAUCAGAGAACACUUCGUAGGUUAGGUGUAGAUGGAGGUAGUUGAUAUGGUUCGCUCUAGAUCAGAGAAUACUUCGUAGGUUAGGUGUAGAUGGAGCUCACUAUAGAAAACCAAAGGUGUUCAGCAUGCUAGUUAGUUUAUUAUGGCUCUUCUAGUGUAGAUUAAGUUGAGAGCCCAUCUGUUUUUGGAGCAACUCUAGUAAGAGCGCUUAAAUCAUGGUAUACUUUUGAUUUAAGGGCUUAACUUUUUUUUUACCAUAUACCCCAGUAGCUCUCAAAUCCAAUCCAGCAGAGACUAACAAACGAGAUUAAUUCAUCAUUCUCAUCGCUCCAAACAAUUGAGCUAUGAACGACGAAAAGAGGAGCUUCACAAUCGCCUUGAGCACGUCUUCCUAAGCCCGGUGAGAAUUUUGUUGGGACUCAUUAUAUUGAAAUGGAUAGGCGUCGACUGUUGGGAAGAGGAGCGCCGAUCUUGCCGAGUGUUGGAAGGACCAUAGAUCUUGAGGGCAUUAGGUGCGAUGAGGAGCUACCAGAGGAGUCAUGGUCGCUGUUGGAUCUUGCUAGCUAUCAGGAUGAGGCGCUAGCGACUCCACUGCGGAGUAGGGGCCUGGGUGGAGAGUCCACAAUAAUGAAGACGGGAGAGGUUGAGAUUUUAGGGCCUUCCAAACUUAUAAGAGCUGCUUGAGCUGUAUUUGUGAUAAAAACAUCUAAAUUUAAGUUGGAGGACCUAGAUAGAGUCCCUAAUGGGAUUGCUCCUACACGUGAUUUGGGGACCGUGAUGCAAAGAGAUUUGUAUCUAUGAGGUAUUUGGAGCAAGACUGAAUCGUAGGGACCAUGAGUCACAACUUUAUCGAAGCGCAGCCCAUCUAAGUUUAGUUCCAAAAUAUUUUAAGAUUCCUCAUCACAUCGAAUCUUGAACAUAUGCAUGGAGUAUUAAAUAUAGAUAAAAAAUAAUUAAAUAUAGAUAAAAAAUAAUUAAUUGUACAGUUUACCUGUAAUUUGCGAGAUGAAACUUUUAAGGCUAAUUAGUCCAUGGUUGGACAAUAAGUACCAAAUACAAAUGAAUGUGCUAUAGUAGCCCAAUCUAAAAAAUUCCGCAAACUAAACAAGAUCUAAAAACUUUUUAGAUUUGAACACUGUAGAAUUUUCAUUUGUAUUUGAUAAUUAUUGUCCAACGAUGGACUAACCAGGCUUAAAAUAUUCGUCUUGCGAAUUACAAGCAAACUAUGUAAUUAAUUAUCUUUUUUUAUCUAUAUUUAAUGUUUUAUGCAUGUGGACUCAAGAUUUGAUGUAAUAAUAAAUUUUUGAAAAGUUUUUAGAUUUUAGGUGGAACUAAACAACGCUUAAGUGGUUGGAGUGAGAGAAUCAGUGUACAUGGACCACAAUUGUUGAAAAGUUGAAAUCAGGCUAUAUGACGGUACCGGAACUGACUUAGGCCUCGUUCGGCAGCACGGUAUUGGUGCCAGACCAAUAUCCGAUCCAGGUCAGGAUAGAGUGGAUCCGGGCCAGUCACUGGAACCACCUGUGUGGAUUGAAUCCACUCUUUUUCUUAAUCCAUCUCUUCAAAAAGUGCAUUCGGUUUGACCUGGAAUUAAGCCAGGGAUUGCAUGGCGUGAUUACCAGUUUACCAGCUCAAAGGUGCACACAAGUGCACGGUCACUCAUUUUUUCAAAAAAUAUGCACGAUCACUCAGACCCAAAGUGCUAAUAGCAUGUUUAAACAUGAAAAUGGUUCCUAGAUCCAAACAUAAAUUACAAAAAUACCCAAAGGUAACAACAACUAGAUCAAAACUUUGUUGGAUAAAAAAAUCAGGAAACCACACGUUCUAGUCUCCCAUUACAAUUUUAGUGUUUUAAUACUCAUUCUUCAUGAUUGUAUGAAGCAAAACAGCAAGCUUCCAGUGAUAUCUUUCAAGAACUGUCGAAAUCAUGUGUUUGUUGCCUGCAGAAACCAAAUGUCUUAAUUAACCUCAACUCACCAAAGAAAACUUUUGGAAUAAGCGAAUCUCAAAAAUCAUCACAACAGUACAUCAAGCUAAAAAAGUUCAUACAAAACCCACACCGCUAUACACUCCUAUGGACCAUUAUUAGGAUGCUAGAAUAAUAGACAAUAGCUCAAAAAUAGAUAAAAAAUAACAAUACAUCUAGCUGAUUGAAAAAUAGCAGCACCCAACAUUAUUACUAACAACCAUGCAUGGCAAGCACUGGCUGAAUCCUCAAAUUCCUAAAACAGAGAUAUUCCAAAUGAAACCCAAUACAAAGGAGCAGAUCAAGAAGAACUGCUGAACUGUCGAUGGCCCAUAAUUUUCAUGCACCACAAGUAAGCAGAUGUCCAGCCUUAAGCAACAAACUUAACAUCUGCUUGACCAUGUCAUAUAGAAGCUAAAUAUUGUAGAGUACCUUCUGGAGUUGGUACCAGAUCCCACGAAGGCAGAGGUUCACCUUCCCCAACUCUAAAUGGUGGUGGAGAGAUCUACAAAAUGGCAACAUGUUAAACUACAAGUAGCCUACAAAAGAUCAGUCUGUACAGAUCAAGAAAAAAGGAGCAAAACAUCAGUCUUCAAUAGGAUGGAAAAAACAACAAAAAGUGCUAAUAGAAAGAACAAGAAAGAUUUUUUGUUCUUGUGCUCCAUAUGCUACUGAUGCUGAUGUAACAAUCGCACACAUCUAGAAGUUAAACUAUUAUGCUUUGUUGACAUGGGCCACCUUAGAACCUAAGCUAGACUAGAGUAAGCUAAACUGGAGUAACACUUUUGUCAAUCCAUAUAUUUGUCUUCUGUCAUGAGGAUUAAACAUAGCUACAAACCGGAAGCAUAAGCCUUACAGGUACUCGGGUAGCAGAUCACUACUAGUAAUAGGUUUCCACAAGCUUCCACUUUCCAGGUAGUUCCAGAUAACAAUUAGUGAUAUACAGGAAAAUUAGACCAUGACCAACUGUCUAAUACAAUAUACAGGAAAACUAAUUACAUUGGUAAGCUCUGUAUAUACAUUUGAGAUACAAAUUUGCAAGCUUAAGAAAGCAUCACUAUGCAUCUACGAAAAUAUCAGUUCAUGGAAAUAUCCAAUAUUCAAAGUUCAAACCACAACGCAUAAAUUAAUAAAAAUGAGUUUAGCAGUAAGCUAUGGUGCCCAUUCUAAUGGACAGAUUUACACUCUGAACAUAUGCCACUGCACUACUGUACGAGAACCAGUGAGAACUGCAGCCACAAGGAGUGGGAUCAUGCCUUGGGUCAGCAGCCUCUAAUAAGACUAAAGACCUUAUUAGAGCAUUAAUAAAUUGGCAUUAGAAGGUAGUCAUGCUGACCACACAGAGCUCACUACUGACGCGCAUGAUGGUUGCAUGCCUUCAUAGUUGUAUCUGGCAUCUCAACUACUGAUAGAGGUGUAUAGAUGCAUAGAAAUAUUAAGAACACUUAACGUAAACUCAAUCUGGAUAUGUAAAAUAAAUGACUGUCUACUAGCUUGUACAUAGCUUGUCAUUCUAAAGUUAGAUUAUUGAAGAAAUUGCUCUGGUUGGGGUUGUCAAUUUGAAAAUGAAAUAGUAGUUUCUCUGAAUCACUAAAAACAUUGGACUAAAAACUUAAUAUUACUACUCAAUUUGCUCUUCUAUUCUCCUUAGUCAAUAGAAGUAUUAAUAAUGCAGUCAAAUCUUGUCCAGGAUUGGCGCCGCUCCCUUUCGGCCUACGUCAGAGAGGCUGUGGUAGGGCGCGCGUGGGUGCGCCAUAUCUCCGGGGCGCUGACAAUGCAUGUUCUUGUGGAGUACGUGCUUCUCUGGGAGCGGCUGGAGACGGUGGUGCUGCAGCCAGGCGUUCCGGACCGAUUUGUGUGGCGGUGGUCGCCUGACGCUGUCUACUCCUCGUCCUCGGCGUACAAGGCCUUCUUCCAUGGCCUCACGCUCCUGCCUGGUGCGCGUCAGCUGUGGAGGGCUUCGGUUCCGCCUAAGGUCAAGUUCUUCGUGUGGUUGGCCUUGCGUGGUCGACUCUGGACCAGUGAUCGGCGUCGCAGGCACGAUCUGCAGGACGAUGCUUCCUGUGCUCUUUGUGACCAAGAGGACGAAACCACCGACCACUUGCUGCUCGGCUGUGUGUUCGCAAGGGAGGUCUGGCAUCGUUUGCUUCGCAAGUUCCGUCUACCUCUGCAGCCGCCUGCCGCGCCCUCGACCCUCGUUGACUGGUGGCUGUCCUCGCGUGGCUUGCUGCCACGUGCGCUGCGCCGGGGUUUUGACUCUGUUGUUCUUCUAGUCGCUUGGUCCGUCUGGAAAGAGCGGAACCGGAGGACCUUCGAAGGCCUACACUCCAGCGCCCUUGAGGUGGUACGUUCUAUCGUCGAGGAGGGGCAGCUGUGGGUGUCGGCAGGAUUCAGGGCCUUGGAGGUCAUCGUCGCGCUUUUCCUCAGCGAGUAGUCCGUGUUGGUGGUGCGUCGUGGGUGUCCCCCACGCCUGUCUUCCGUCUCCUUUUCGCUUCUGGCACCUCGCCGGGUGGUGUUGUUUUGGUUUUUUUUUUUCUUUCGCUGUACUGCUGUGUACUUUUAUCAUUCUUAAUGAAAUACACGUGAAGUCGUGUUCUAGAAAAAAAAAAAUCUUGUCCAGGAUACUCACCAAAAAUUUAUUAGAAGCUUUUGUUCUAAGCCAGUCCAAAACAAACGCACAUUCUAGCUUCUAUGGAAUGAAAACGGGUCGCACCACUCGGAAUGGCCCGGGAACGGGCUAAUCCGGUAGAAACAAACGAGGCCUUAGGCCACGAGUAGACGUGCCCGGUUGGCGUUUUCAUAAUGUGGGGACUGUGUAGCGUGCUUGUAAUGCAUGUGCGCAUCGUCUGUGCAGCGCGUGUCCUCUCGCUUGUGCGGGCUGCACGCGGCAUGCCAACAAAGAAAUUAAAAAAGAAACAACGAGAAGAUCUAACACAACACACGCAUGACGCAUACAGGUACACUGGUACAUUGCCUUCUAGAUAGAGCGAAGAUAUUUCUCGAUCGCUCAAGUAGCACAAGACACUUUGACACUCCUCUUCGGCUCUGGGCAAAGAAGAAGAGUUGUUUAGAUAGUGUCAAACGCAACCUGAACGCGCAUGCAUCGCAUUGCAUGAUUGCAUCAUGGUACACAGUACACAGUACACUAGCUAGCUACACUCCAGACAUCGCUUGUGAUUGUGAGAGGAGGCGUCGUCAUCAUCAUCAUGGAGACGAAUUCGAAGCGGGUGGCCAUCGUGGGCGCCGGCGUGAGCGGCCUGGCGGCGUGCAAGCACCUGCUGGAGCGCGGCUUCAACAGCCCGGUGCCGGUCGUCUUCGAGUCCGGCGCCGUCGUGGGCGGCGUGUGGGCGCGCGUGCCGGACAGCACGGCGCUGCAGACGCCGCGGCCGAUGUACCAGUACUCCGACUUCCCCUGGCCGGACACCGUCACCGACGUGUUCCCCGGCCACCGCCAGGUCAUGGCCUACCUGGACGCCUACGCGCGCCGCUUCGGCGUCAUGGACUGCGUCCGCUUCCGCCGCCGCGUGCUCGGGAUGGAGUACCACGGCGUCGACGAGGACGACGUGGCCAAGUGGGAGGAGUGGAGCGGCAACGGCGAGGCGUUCGGGUCCGGCGCCGGCGAGUGGCACCUCAAGGUGGCCGACGCCGAGGGGCGCGUUGAGGUACAGCAUGUUAUUAUGCGUACUACUUUCUUGUUAUUAUAUCCAUUAAUUAAUACUCAGCUCCAUCUUUAUAAAAUAAAUUUCUAGAUUUUUGUCGGGUCAUUUUUUUAGAAAUUUUAUUACUAUAGAAAUAUGAUAGUAUAGUACCUUAGCUUCCAGGGAAAAUAUCUCCCUUCAAAAAGUUUGUGUCCACGCACAUCAUAUCCGAGUCCUAGCCACAUCACAUUUCUGGAACCAAACAGUGCUGCUACACGACGGCGGGCCAACAAACUUUUAAGGCCUUAUUUAGUUUACCAAAAAAACAAAAACUUUUUAAAAUUUUUGGUCACAUUGAAUCUUGCGGCACAUGUAUAGAGCAUUAAAUAUAGAUAAAAACACAAACUAAUUAUACAGUUUGCCUGUAAAUCGCGAGAUGAAUCUUUUAAAUCUAGUUACUCUUUAUAAUUAGAUAAUAUUUAUCAAAUAAAAGGGAAAGUGCUAUAGUACCUCAAUCCUAAAAAUUUUGGGAACUAAACAAGUAACGUCACUACUGCAGCUACACCAGGAAGGAUUGUAACUCUAAAGACGAACCUGCUAUCUUGCCUUUGCCAUUGCUCAUCGUCACCAUCCUUUAAUUUGUCAAAUCAACGAAAAAAUGACACGUGCAAUAGUCCAGAAACGCGGCAGCCCUAUGCUCGAUGAUGCACUGACGGGAGACUGGUAGAACUGGAAGCAUUGACCUAUCUCCCAAAUAUUAUUUUCACUUUUCAAAAAGUUAAAUCUUUUUAAACUUUGACCAGUUAUAUAUUAGAAAAUAUUAAUAUUUAUAAUACAUAAUUAAUAUCACUAGAUAGAUAAUACUCAAUCCAUCCUAAAUUAUAAAUUAUUUGACUUUUUGACAUCAAAUUUAACCAUUCGUCUUAUUCAAAAAUUUGUGCAAAAUAUCACUUCUAUUGCCGUGGUUUGGUUUAUUAAUAAAAGUUCUACAAGAAUGACUUAAAUUUAACUAUGUUUGUAUAAUUUUUUUUGAAUAAGACGAGUGGUCAAACUUGAAAUUUAAAAAGUCAAACAACUUAUAAUUUAGGAUGGAGGGAGUAUUUUUUUAUAAUAAAUUUAUUUGGAGAUAUAAAUGUUGCACAUAUUUUUUUACAAAUCUAGUCAAAAGUUAAAAAAAUUAAUCGACAUGUAUGUCAUUUAUUUUGAGGCCUUGUUUAGUUCCCAAAAAUUUUUGUAAAAUUUUUCAGAUUCCCGUCACAUCAAAUCCUUAGACGCAUGCAUUGAGUAUUAAAUAUAGACAAAAAUAAAAACUAAUUAUUUGGUCCGAAUUGAUAGAGACAGCUAUAGUGAAAGCUUGCGGGUCGUUCCGAUGCACAGAUUGCGACCUGUAGCUAAAGCUUGCGACCUGUUCCGAUGCACAGACUGAGACAGCUGUAGUGAAAGCUAAAAGAUACUCUCUCAAAUUAAGUGUGGUUUUUGAAUUGUCUGAGAGACAUAAUUUAAAUAUGCGUAUCCUCUUUCUUAGAAACUUAUUUGCAGAAAUGAUUCUCUUUUAGAUUAUGUUGUUAGAGAAUAUGUCGAAUGGGUAUUAAAUCUUUUGACUAUAGUGUUAUCCAAAGAUUGAAUGUGUUUUAUAUUUUGGAUGUUAUUGUUGGAGAUAGUCUAACAGACUACGGGGGAUAUAAUUUGGGUUGUCCAAAAGGCACAACUCAAAUAUGAGUAUCCUUUCUCUUAUAAAUCUAUUUGCACAAAGAAUUUUUUUUGAUCAUGUUGUUGGAGAAGAUAUCGAAUAGGUAUUGAAUAUGCUCCUUUGACUGUAGUGCUACCAAAAGAUCGAACGGUCUUAUAUUUUAGGUGUUACUGUUGGAGAUAGUAUUAAGUUUAGAGAUGUGGGUAAAUAAAUUGACAAGUCUGUGGCUGAUUACCAUAGAUAUAUUUCACUUAUUUAUCUAUCAUGUUUAUCAAUGGAGGCUUUCUUUAAUUUGUUAGUGGGGUCUUUUGACCCAGGCUCACAAAAACAAUAAAUCCUCUUAUCUUUUCGUUUGCUGUUCACAGUACAAAUAUACAUGUUCACAAGCACACUCACCUCAUUCAGUUUAUAAGCCUCAAUGAAAAAUUAAGUUUGUAAUCUUAAGAUUAGCGAAAGCACUAGAGAUAUUUCAUUGCUGAUGGAGUGAUGGAUAUGCCGUUCAACAAAAUAAUAACGUCGCUGAAUUAUCAAAAUAAAGAAGAUGCAACAACAAGUUUGAAAUUGAUGACUCGAACCUAUAGGACCUAACCAACCAACCAAUUGAGUAGUGAACUAACAAUUAACCUAUGUGUUUAAGGGGGUGUUUAGGACUGCUCUACUAUACGUUUUUUUAGCUCCGCUCCACGUUUUUUAGUUAAAUGGUUUCAGCUUCACGCACGCAUUCAGUUCGAGGAAAAAGUAUGGAGUUGUAAGAGCACCUAAAGAGGUACUCCACAAAUUCCAGUUUUUUGUGGAGCUGCUCCACGGUGGAGUUUGUGGAGCAGUCCGUAGAGCAGCUCCACAAAAAACUGAAGUUUGUGGAGUACCUCUUUAGGUGCUCUCAUAACUCCACCAUUUUUCCUCGAACUGAGUGCGUGGAGCUGAAACCAUUUGGCUAAAAAACAUGAAUCAGAGUUGAAAAACGUAGACCAGAGCAGUCUCAAAACCCCCCUUCUGUCCAUGACUAGCGUGUCUAUUUCCAAUCUAAAACAAAUCUCCAGCGGUAACUGUUUUACUCCGAACCCAACGCACCGUGCAGCGAGCAUGCCCAAUAAUUAAGAAACAUCAAAAAAAAGUGCAUGCUGAGAAAAAUACAACAGCAACAAUUUUUUGAAUAACAUAGACUAACUUUGUUGGUUUUUUCAUUCUUGAAUUUUAUAUACAGAGUGCUGGUAGAUAUGACGUCACAAGUAAAUGCAACAGAGAUAUUUUUUUAAAUGGCUUCGACAGAGACAACUCGCACUGUGUUACAAUUAGAAAUAUAUUUUUUGUAAACAAUUUGUAUUGUGUUUAUCCCACAAUAAGAAAAAUUUCGAACCCUCACCAUAGGUAAUUACUCUAUGAAAUAUACAGCACAAAAUUAGAAAUUGAACAUUGCAAAUAAAUGAAACAGAGUUACAUAAACAAAAAGCAGGUGAUUUCCUUGUAUUCUCUUCAAGGAAAAAAGCAGGUCAUUACUGCAAUUCAGAAUUUCCUUUUCUGGUCCAGACACACAAGGCAGACUUUGUAAUUCUCUGUAUUGGGAGGUUCAGUGGUGUACCCAACACACCUACAUUCCCUCCAGGCAAAGGUCCAGAAGCAUUUGAUGGGCAGGUGAUUCACUCCAUGGACUACGCUAAGAUGGGCACCAAGAAAACCAAGGAGAUGAUCAAAGGCAAGCGUGUGACUGUUGUCGGCUACCUGAAAUCAGCAAUUGACAUUGCUGCUGAAUGCGCUGAAGUAAAUGGUACAGCAAAAGUGCUCUUCAUUAUUACUCCCCUCUAGAAAUCGUACAUAUUGGACUAUGCAAUGCAUAUUGUUGAAUCCUUUCGGACCUUUUUAUCCUAUAAGAAAUGUGCAGCCUUUUUAGCAUUUAGCAAUUGUGCAAUUUUAUAUUAUAUAAACAGGAUAGUCAUGUUGUCUGACAGUUUGUUUUCUGAUCGAUCUCUGUAGGCACUGAUCAUCCUUGUACAAUGGUUGUCCGAACAAAACAUUGGAUCAUACAGGACUACUUUGCUUGGGGAGUCCACAUAUCGCUGUUAUACCUAAAUCGCUUUGCAGAACUACUGAUUCACAAACCUGGUGAAGGCUUUCUCCUUUGGCUCUUGGCCACCCUGUUGGCUCCAUUGGUAAUUCAUUCUGCUAUUCUUCUUAGAACUUACACAUUUGUGUUAAGAAGAUGAUAGAUUUCACAUAAUUAAGCAUCAUGUAUUAAUUCAUGCAUUUUUGCAGAGAUGGCUAUUUUCGAAGUUUGCUGAGAGCUACUACUCCAUCCCAAUGAAAAAGUAUGACAUGGUGCCUGACCACAGCCUGUUUCAAGCACUAGCUACAUGUUUGGUUGCUAUAGAGCCCAAGGGAUUUUAUAAGAGGCUGGAAGAAGGCAGCAUAGUUCUGAAGAAAUCAAAGACGUUUACCUUCUGCAAGGAUGGUGUUGUUGUGGAAGGUGAAGAAUUAUCGCCGAUAAAGAGCGAUAUAGUGAUCUACGGAACCGGGUUCAGAGGUGAUCUGAAGAUCAAGGACAUGUUCACCUCAGAAUACUUCCGCAGCAUUGCAGUUGGAUCAACAUGCACAACUGUGCCUCUCUACAGGUAAGUCAUGUCAUGUGUAUGUAAUUGCAACCAUUAUGCGCUUAAUUAAAUUCUUGAUGUUAUUAACCACUUCAUUGAUCUGCUGCACCCCAUCCAAUGCAAUUCACAGGGAGUGCAUACACCCAAAGAUACCGCAGCUUGCGGUUCUAGGCUAUUCAGAGAGCAUUGCAAACUUGUACACCUCAGAGCUCAGAGCCAAGUGGCUGGCCCAUUUCAUGGAUGGUGGCUUCAGGUUACCAAAUGUUACUGCAAUGCAGAAGGAUAUCCUUGAAUGGGAGAAGUGCAUGAAAAGAUAUGCUGGUAGGUACUUUCGCAGGUCCUGUAUCGGACUCCUUCACAUCUGGUACAAUGAUCAGCUGUGCCGCGAUAUGGGAUGUGAUCCAAGAAGGAAGAAGGGCUUUCUCCAGGAAUUAUUCGGAAUCUAUGGCCCUGGUGAUUAUGCUGAUCUUCACCCCAAGAAAGACUAGACGUUUGGCGGCUUGAUUUCCUGAGGCAGUCGUUAUCUAGAAGUUCUUCACUGAUUUGAGUAUUAUACAUGCUGAAUAAAGUUGGUACUGUGCCUAUAUUGGAUAAUCCUACAACGUUCACAGCUCCUGUUUUAAUUUGCUUCUGGAUCGAGAGUUUCUGUAUUACAUUUUCUUUAGAGGAAUCUGUAUCAUUUCUUGCUGCGUCCUUAGAGCCUACUUGUGCUUCGUCUUAUGGGCCAGAUUAUUAAAGCCCAACGCCAUACUAGAGUUUCAAGCUCUAGCCGGCACAUACAAACCUUUUGCUCUACUGUUAUCCUUGCCGAGGUACUUCUACAUUUUCUUAGGCGUUAUAUUCGAAACCGCUAAGGUAAUUUCAUAUUUUCUUUAGCGUUGUUACAAACUUCCAAGGUAGCAUAGAUGUUAUUCCACAUCACCAAGGAAAAUGCACACUUUCUUGAGUGUAGUUGUAAACGCCAAGUAGUUUCCAUUGUGCAAACCCUCAAGUAAACUGCUGGACUCAUUGCAGCCUUGUUAGUUAAAUAUUGCAUUUUAUAGACACAAAUGGUCCACAUGUUUGUGGAAUAGAAUACGGUUUUUCCUUGGUGCACUAAUCCAACAAAAGGUACGUACAGGCCUGUUCGUUGGUCUGAAAAGUUAAGACUGAAAUUACUAUUGGCUGAUUUAUUGUGAGAGAAAAACACUGCUGGCUGACAGAUGUUUAGUUAGUUCUAAUGUUAAAAUGCAACAUAGUCUCUUGGUUAUGCUCACAUGAGUGUACCUACUCUACUUUAUAUUGUGCCUAUGAAUAGACAUAAUCGCUAAUAAGUGCAUAAGACAGAAAUAUAUAUAUUUCACAAAUCAAGUUGGAUGAAGACGAGCUUAAUAUCAAGAUUGUAUAGUUGAUGACAUUUUUAUUUGAAAUAACUAAGUGCCCAAAAUCAUGUUCUAAGUUCUUAGAUUUUCUAAAUUUAAGUUUUUUUAAUGUUGUCGAAACGACUUAGAUGGGGAUAUGACCGAAACUAAAGUUACAGCACUCGACCAAAGAUUUUGAAGCAGGUUUCAUUCUUGAGCUGCAAAACUAAAUAUCACACUCCUAGACUCUCAGAACCAUUCAAAUUACCUCCUUGCUAUGAUUUCAAGGGUAAUGAAGAUGUUUUUGUCUUUUUGAAUUAAAAACAUAAAUACUUCAUAAUGUUUUUAAACCACAAAAAAUGUCUCCAAGCUCAUAAAUUUUUUUGAGAAAAAUCCUAGAAAUAUAUUGGGAUACAACGUAUCCAAAUAAAAUAUUUAGAGCUCGUAAAAAUAUAGCUAGAAGCUUCUAAAAUUUUCCUCUAAGAAAAUAGUAAAAUUAUCUAGAAAAUUUGCAAAACAUAUUAAUUAGUGUAAACAUGUUUCGAAAACUUCCACAAUAAAAAUCUAACAUAAUGAGGACAAAUAAAUUAAACGUUAAUUAGUGUUGCAUCUAUGAUAGUUGCAUCUCAUAUUUUUUUUUAUUAUAAAAAGGUUUCAAUACACGUUUACUCAUAGAUUCGAGAUUGGUUUUUAGUUUUUCCUAGAUAUUUCCCCCAUUUUCAAGAGCUAAAUGUAACUUUAGAAUCUUCUAGAUAUACUUUUAUGACCUCUAAUAUUUGGAGGAUUCAUCUUAUCCCAAUCUGUCUUUAUGAUCUUUUUUUUUUGGAAUUUUUAAAAGUUUAGAAAUUUUUUGCGGUUUAGAAAUCUUAUUAAGUAUUUAUUAGAUUUUAUAUUAACUAAUAAAGAGUGUAAAAGCGUUUAAAACCACUUCAAACCAGGGGGCACAUAGCUAAUUCCAAUGGUUUUGAAUAUUCAAGGUGCGAUGCCAGGUUUUAGAAUUGGAAAUUCAGGUUUAAGACUUAAAUACAGCAGUCGAACACUUUCUGCAAAAUCAAAUGAUGAUGAUCGGGUGACGUUUCGUGAUGUCGGAACUUCCACGAUUACGGAACCCUCUAGAACAACUAUCCUUGAAAAAAAAAAAAGAAAAUCAACUGCAUUCUGUCAAAGGUGCUCCGAUUUUGCAGCAGGGUGGGGUCAAAUCAGAAGAGACGAAAGUGGUAGAAAGCUUGAGAGUUUGAGAAUCAAAUCAAAUCAACUGAAUCCACUUCAGCAUAAAUCUCAUCCUCCAGAAACACGUUGCUCUCGUCGCGAGACAUCCCUUGCUUUCUCCACGUCUCCACUUCAUUCCAUUCCUCCCUCCCUUUUCUGCCAUCCGUUUCCUACAAAACCAGAGCUGCCGCCUGCUCCACAGUCUAACACAAACCAGAGCUGCUGCUGCUGCCCUGUUUCUUGUCCAACAGCUGCUGCUGCUGCUUCACUUCCUCUGCUUACACAGAGCAACCAGUUGUCAGCAGCAAUGUCUGCACCCAUGGUGGACGCCGAUUACAUGGCCGAGAUCGAGAGGGCGCGGCGGGACCUCCGCGCCCUCAUCUCCAGCAAGAACUGCGCGCCCAUCAUACUCCGCCUCGCGUACGACCUCAUCACAAACAUGUGUGGCGUGGUGUGGUCUGAUUUGCUUGUAACAUCUUCUUGCUGAACAUCCAAUGGCUUUUUUUUCUGAUGUUGCAGAUGGCAUGACGCCGGCACUUACGACGCCAAGACCAACACCGGAGGCCCCAACGGGUCCAUAAGGCUCCCACAGGAGUACAGCCACUCUUCAAAUGCAGGGCUCAAGAUUGCCAUUGACCUGCUAGGUCAGUUUUUUUCUAGCUCCUAGUAGUGAACAUAUAUUUGGAGUCAGAUACAUCAAGUGGAUCAAGUCUUGAUGACACCACACUUCUGCUUCCUCCUGCGCAGAGCCAAUAAAACAGAAGCACACCAAGAUCACAUAUGCAGACCUGUAUCAGGUACUACAGUCUACAGCUAUGUCCCCAUGGACUAUUUAUUUACUCAAUUGAUGCAUACCAUGGUUAAUUGAAUUGUGUUUCAUCAACUAGCUCACCGGAGUUGUCGCCGUCGAAGUUACUGGUGGACCAACCAUUGAUUUCGUUCCUGGCAGAAAGGUUAGUUAGUACUGUACAAGUGGCAACCUCAGAUUCUAUCAUUACUGAGUAUAUAUCAUCUUGUCAGAGCUUCUUAUUCUAGCUUUUCAUGUCUGUAAUAACCAGGAUUCGUCGGCUUGUCCAGAAGAAGGACGCUUGCCAGAUGCUAGAAAAGGUUGCUUCGUAACACAUCUUUAGAAGCUUCUUUAUAUAUAUAUAUAUAUAUAUAUAUAUAUAUAUAUAUAUAUAUAUAUAUAUAUAUAUAUAUAUAUAUAUAUAUAUAUAUAUAUAUAUAAGAUACACAGAAUUGGUACACACAAGAGAGUUUUCAGCAUUACAACGUACCUUCGAUGUUUAUGGGACGGAUGUUCCAAAUUCAGCUCUUCUGCAUUACUGAAAAACUUUCAAUUCUUCUUGCUCUUAUCUGUCACAAGGUGCUUCGCAUCUUAGAGAAGUCUUCUACCGGAUGGGUUUAUCUGACAAGGACAUUGUGGCACUCUCCGGCGGUCAUACUCUGGUACACAAGAACAUCUUUUCUUGUUCAUGCAUUAUAGCAAGCAUAUUUUUUUUCUUAGAGAAGGGUUAACAAAUAUGAACAUGGUCUCAAUUAGAUUAACGUGGUUUAGUUCCUUUUUAUCUAAAUUUGUGCCACACAAUGCAAAUUUCAGGGAAGAGCACAUCCAGAGAGGACAGGAUUUGAUGGCCCAUGGACCAAGGAACCUCUGAAAUUUGACAACUCUUAUUUUGUGUAAGCCUUAAGCUGACUAUUUCAAAAACCUAACACACGAUUAUUGCCUUUAUUUUUUCUCAGAUUAUUAUGGUUGGUAAUGUCACACCUGUGUAUAUCACUUCACAUCCAAUGAUGCAGUGAGCUUCUGAAAGGCGAUUCUGAAGGGCUCUUGAAACUCCCUACUGACAAGGUUCUUGUGGAAGAUCCUGAAUUCCGUCAGUACGUCGAACUAUAUGCCAAGGUACACAACUAUUCAGUUAC